AGAGAGAGAGAGGAUCUGAUCUUACAGAUGUUGUCUCCGACUCUAAAGACCCUGUCGAUGGUCCAAGCAGCCACAUCAGAAGAGACAUCCCACCCAUGAUCAUCGCCCACUAUAUGUUGCACCGCUUGUGCUGAUGUCAAUAGCAAAGCGACAACAGCAGCAGCAGCAGCAAAGGAGCCGCCGAAAGAAGCAGCCAUGUCGUGAAGAAGAGAAGGGGAAGGAAGCAGAUGGUGGAGACGUGGGAGUGGAAGUGCGGCGGAGGGAGGGGCAGGUAUAUGAAGGAGGUAGACGCGAAAUAACAAGGAAAUGUUUAUUCCGUUUCCUUCAUCCACCCUUCUCAACCAACCGUCUGUCUCUCCGGUAGGUGGCGGGACGAAUGGUGGUUUUCUCUCGUCGUCCGAACCAAACCGAUAGGGUCUCUCUCGCGUAUACCAAUUACCGAUAGCAUCUAAAUUUUCACACAGCCACGGUUGUUUGUCAUAUUAAUUUUUGGCACCCAAACAACAAAAUGCACGUCUCGAUGCCCAUUCAUUUUUUAUUUUAUUCGUGGACGUAUGACAGACAGACAGAGACACGCCCCAUUCAUUUUAGCAAACAGCAAAGAAAUAUUAGAUUAGUCCUUCCCAAAAAAACACCCGAUCCGAAAUCGUUCUGAACCACAACGCCCCCCCGUCACCACCGACCGCCAGCUUAUGGGUCACAGGGACUGGGCUCUCAUGAACCGUAAGACUGGCACUUAUAUAGCUGAACGGGUCCAAAGAUGGCUCGGGUCGGGCUCAGCCUGCACCCACGGCACCGGACUCUAAACCAAGCCGCAGAGGCCCUGAGCCAGAUCACAUGUGCGGACCGUGCCCAAGCCUAGACAGCACAGCUCUGGGCCUGAUAAGCCCGUGUUGGCCUGAGCUGCGACUAAUGUACCAGGCCGGGCCGCACCGCGCCUCGGGCCUAAGUUCAAGCCACGACGAGCGCUGGGCGGGGACAAGCCUAGCCGCCUUGGUCGCCGAGCCGGCUGCUAGAUCCGAGCCGAUCGAAGACGGGGCUUCAAUGGGCCGGCCCACUGAGUGGCGCUGUUGCCGAGGCUAAGCCAGACGCUAGGCUGCUCGGACUGCAGGCCCAGCCCGCGCCGAAACCAACCAGGGUCUUGGCUUGAUCCGGGUUGGGUUAACCCGGUCCGAACUACGGUUGGACACGAGUCAGACCGAAUCCGAGCAGCUGAACCUCUCAUUCCAAUUUCAAUGAAAUGCCCACUUUUUAACAGAAACUUAACUUGAAAAGCUACACUUUCGACAUGCAAAAAUUAUCAGAAAGUUAGAAUCAAUCAAUCAAAUAGAUUUAUCUAAUUAAAAAUUCAAAAUAUUUUUUCAUGAAUUAAAAACCCAACAAGUUCAUAAUUCUGAAUUUUAAAAUAUAUAAAUAAUGAAAAUUCGAAUAUAAUUUCAUAAAACAUUUGAAUGUCUACAUAAAAUAAAAAUAACUAAUUUUAAUCCUAAAACAAAAUUUUAAAAAUUUAAUUUAUGUUUGUAUAUCAUUUUUAAAAUCUAAACAAAAUAGUAACUCAUCUAUUUCUAAAUUAAAUAUUUAGAAAUUUUCUAAAUAUUGUAAUUAUGAAAUAAUACUAAUAUUUAAAAUAAAUAUUAUAACUUGCCUCUCGCAUGUAUCUGACACUACUUUGUCACAUCCUUAGUUGAGAUUAUCAAAGAUAUAUAUUACUCGAGCGAUACCUAUCCGGAAGGAUCAGUAUAAAUGUUCUUUCUAUGCAGUCGACAAAGGACCUACACAGCAAGUGAUAUGUCAUCGUCGUGCAUGAAAAUAAUAAUAUAAUUAGGAUCUCAAAUAACACAAAUCAAGUAACUUUUAUUAAGCAUAAAAUAUUUUUAAAAAUGAGUUAGAACAAGUGCACACAAAAGGGAUUUCGAAGGCAAAUGUGGGGCUAAUGUUCAUGUAGUACUUUCAUCAAACAAAAAAUAAAUACACUAAAGACGUUGCAUCACCCUUAGAUAUAUAAACAAGACCCCAUCCACCCUAGUGCCACCCGGUGUUCAAAUGCAGUGAGACGGUUGACGUUUUAAUCGUUCUAUCAUAAAUCAUUUAUGUGGCACAGAGUUGUUUUGAUUAAUUUUCCUGGUAUCAUACAAUUAAAAAUAUUUUUGAGUUUUAUAUGAUAAAAAUAUAAAACAAAAACACUAAUAACAAACCAUAUUACAAAACUUGAAAGGGUCAAUGGCCUUCCCCCGUACAGUUUGCCCAUUGCAUCUUUGAAUCCUUCACCAUCUACUCUAACUACGUCCACGCUUUCCUUCGAAUACGAGAUAACUUGAUGAGAGGAUAAUGCAUAGACAUACUACCUUCGACUAACACAUCACCUAAAGAUGAGGAGUUGACGGUUGUUGAUUUCUGACCACUUUGAAGGGACUUCCAAUUGAAGCAAGCUCAACUAUAUUGGUGAGAAGAAUUGUGUUAUUUUGAUUAGCUUCACCAAAAUUCCUUGAGUUGUACUUCUUUAGCUAGCUACAUAACUUUCAAGAUCAUCCAUAACCUAUUUGCAACUAUAAUUAUGCUCUCUUCUUUAAAGUAUGAGUUUGAUUAGUGCUCCGAAGACUCACUACUUCAAUACCAUGCCUCAUCCUCUUAUGUUCAUGGCCUUCAAUCCGAUGCUUUCUAGAUUAAGUUCUUGGGCGAUCGAGUCCCUCAUAGAUUCAAGGUUGUUAUAAUGCCUUACCUCUACUGAUCAACUAUUGAUUUUGCAUGUCCUAUGACUCACGAAGCAUUUUGCUUUUAAUCUUUCAUUAAUCAACUUGUAACUUUUCAAUGUGGUCAACGCCAUCCUAUGUUACAUGGCUUUUGUCAACUCUAAUUCUUUGAGCGUUUAUUUGACAUUAAUAAUCGCUCACCCAAUCUUGAUCCUGGAAAGCAUCAGAAUAUCCAGAAGAAAAGAUAAGCUUUUGAGCAGUAUAUCUUCGAUUUGAGAAGCUUAUUUGAUAAGCCACAAAAAUUCUUCCACUCCGAAAAUGAUACCUAAUGGUUGAUAUCCUCGACUUUUUACCUGAAUUUAACUUUUUCUUUUCACCUUGUAUCCUCAUGAAAAAAGCUUUCGUAAUUAGAGUUGUUAGCACAUAUCGUCUUCAAGAGUGGCAUGAAGUUGGUGCUCCCUCUCUUAACUCUUUGUAUAGAGAAUGUUAAUAUUUAAAAUUCUAAAUAUUAAAUAUUAGCGCAUGUUUUUUAUGGACUUCAAUCUUUUGAUUUGUGUUAACGCUUUUAUCAAUAAUUUUUUUUAAAAAAAAUAAAACUUUUGAUAUUCCCACAUGCCAAAUGAAAACCCUAAUUAAUCACAAAGAUUUUUGAGAUACUUUAAUAUACUUUCUAUUUUCUUGACUUAAGUUAGAAAUCAAUUCUUUUUAAAAGUAAUCUCCCAUCUAAAUUUAGAAGUAACCCAAAAAAGAUUUAAAUAAUUUAAUCAUGUCAAAAAUUCGAUCUAUUUCGAAUUGAAUUUAUUCGAUGGGUACUUUGGCAAGGAGUGACAAUCUUUUCCAAUGGAACACACAAGUAUGUUGAGAAUCAUAUUAGCACACCGAAAGAAGAAGCAUUACGAGGAAAACUGGUUUGGUCAUCUUGUGAACCACGAACUCAUUCGUUCUUAAAGCGUUACAGUAGCCUGGAAAGAAGGAAAAUUACAAGAAAAAAGAAAAAAAAGAGAUCAUCUCUCCUCCAACACUUUUUGAUCACAGACCUCAGAACCCUGUCUUUUAGAUGCAAAUAGGAUGGGAUCUCCAGAUCCAGAUGCUUUCAUUAAUUCUUCAGGAGCUGUCAGUAGGAGGGACGACUACAGAAGCAUUGUUUUCCAUCUCCUAUCCACUCCAAGUUUCUUCCUGCUCCCACAAAAAAAGAAAAACAAAAAGUGUCAUGUAGGCAGGUGUUUGUAACUGAUCGUUCGAAGAUGGAUGAUGCAGUUGGCUGGUUGAACAUUAAUAAUGGAGAUGGAUUGACUGCUUGGGAGAAUUCAAAGCCAGAAGACGCAAAGUGAUUCAAGAACAAGUACAGGCUGUGUGGUAGUGGCUUUCACUGGGAUCCAAAAAUCUUGUGUCUGAUGGACAGCUUAAAAAAGGAAUAACUUGGCAUUACAAUUAUUAUACAGCUCUAAACUGCUUGUGGAUCCUCCAUAAAAGAAAGAAAGAGUAAAAAACCCAUUACCUUCAAAAAUUUGUCAUUCGUUUCUCUAUCCGAAGCCAAAAGGACACCAAAACAGGAAAAAUAUAAUGAAACAAAAAUGAACUUAUGCAAACUAAUAUCACCUGGGGAUAGGUCACCGAUUUUAAUCCAUUGAAAACUUCAUGCGAGUGGCCAUCCUUUGCAUUUCAUCAAAUAGGCUAUUACAAUUGCAGGUGACCUGCCACAAGAUAACAAUGAUACAGAUGAUUCGCAUAUGAUAUUCAUAUACAAACACACAAGUUAAGUAAAUCAACCAAUUUUUUUCCCAACUUACAGUGGACAAGAACACGUGCAUCCUCCUUGUUGCAUUGUUCUGCAUAACAGAAGAUAAAUGUUGUGGAAAAGAACACGAACUACAUGAGAGGAAAAACAUUCUGCACACCAAAUGAUAAAUGGUAUGAAAAGAAACAAAAACUACAUGAAGAAGAGAAAAUGAUGAAACCAAGGAUCAAUCAACAUAGCGACUAGCUUUUGUAGCAGGUCUGGAUAGAGCAUAUCAAGCUAUAAGCAAAAUACUGCAACAACCAUGAAAACAAUAAAAUGCAGAUGGAAGGUAAGUCAUCAAAACCAGAUACUACCAGAUUUAUCCUGCACUUUAAAUCCUAAGAAUACUUCUAUAUUUGCAUUUAGCAUAUUCAUCUAAAAAACAAAUUCUAGGAUACUCGGCUUAUUAAAAAAAUCCUAAUUAUGUUUGUCCGCUUAGUUACCUUUGCUCCAAUUGACUCAAUUUGACCCAAUGGAAAAACUGAAUUAAUUAAUUGAAAAGUGCAAAACCAUGUAACCCAAAAUGCUUUAGUCCUCUGAUAUAAUGAUGGUGGGUCCAUCUAGCCUAUAUAUCAUAAUAAACAUCAUCUCAUUUCUAACGUCAGACUAAAUCCGAAUGUUACACUUACCAUGUGCAAUUGUUAGUCUCACAAAAACCUCAAAAUUUAAACUUGUGUGAUGCCUAGUCAUUUUGAUCUAAUUUGACUAGACUUAAGUUUUACUUACCAAGGAAUAUUAAUGAUGAUAAUUUUAUUACUAUUAUUAUAGACUUGUUAUCAUUCCUAGAUUGAUGUGUGUUUUCUCGGAGAAUAAGGAAUUUAUUUUACAAGGGAAGAACUAAUGCCGGAUAAGAGUAUGAAACCAUAGAUAUGAGGCUUUCUCUUCCGCAACAACUCCGUUCAACGAACCGUUCGUCGCUCUCAUCUACAUGUACAACUACUUGGCAGCCUGUUUUGCCUUGGUUUUGAGUCAUUUUGCUUGUAAAAAUGUAAGUUCGAACAAGCUGCAGCGUUACAAAGCGACCGCUCACCGAACCGAGCAAAACAACCCCAAAACAGCCCAAAAGAGCUCCGUUUUCGUGUGCCGCGGGCUGAUUUCUGGAAUCUGCCUCCGCUCACCAAAACGUCAGCCAUCUCAGCCCCUUGGAACUCCCCGGGUGGCACAGGGUUGGAUGGGGCUUCGGUAUAGUACCGGGCGUUGAACACUCCUUCGCAAGUUCGCACGUUGCCUUGACGGGAACUUGUUGUCGCGCCUGGGACUCGGUGAGCAGCUGUUCGUUCAACCUUCUAAAGCCUUGUUUUCCCCCUCUCCCUCUUUUCUCUUGUGCACGCAAGGUGCUCGCUGAAUUGCUUGUAUUGCUUCCACUUUUCGCGAGACUUCGGGACUUGUCCGUUGCUCGUUCUUUCGAACUAAUCAACUUUCUCUUUUACAGGUCCUUCGGGACCUACGAGAGGUUGCAAGUGGGCUGAUCUUUGCGGAGCAAUAUCGCAAGGGCGAAGCGCGACUUAGGCAACGCAAGCUAAGUUCGUGUCUUGACCGCAAGCUAAGGUCGUGACAUUGUGGUAUCAGAGCGGACAAGCACUUCGAGCGAGCAGCGAAGGAACUUCGCAACUUCGCCAUGGCAAAGCAUCGUGGUGAAUCAAGCAAGACGGGGCAAGCCGGACCCUUGCCCCAAGCAGCCGUAGGUGGGCUGCAUGUGCACACUCGCUCUCAUGCUGUUGGAGCCGCUCAAGAGGAGCGCGGUAGCGAACUUGAUGAGCGAGAAGUUGGCUACUCUCCGCGAGCGGAGGAAGCGCAAUCUGGAGCGCUAACUGGGAAAAAGUGUCACUAGGAGAGACUCACAACAGCGAAAACCCGCCUGGAUGUUCUUGAAGUGAGCGUGGAGGAACUCUAUCAUAGCCAACAAAGGCUUGUCGAGGUAGAGAGUUCGCAAGAGGAAGCGGAGUCCAGGAUCGACAAGGUCGAGGCCCUAGUCGACCGACUGUCAGAUGGCACCAAAGACUCCGUGAAACACCUGCAGGAAGUUGUGACAGAACUCACUUCAAGGGUGACUAUGCUCACUAGAGCACUAAAUGCGGGAGGAAGCUACACCCGCGUUGCACCGCCACAAAAUUUAAGGGCACCCGAGCCUCAUAGAUAUGGAGGGGCCAAAGAUGCCAGAGAACUCGAGAACUUUCUGUUCGACAUGGAACAAUACUUUCGAGCUACGAGGCCCGAUUCUGAAGAUACCAAAGUUUCUAUAGCAACAUUGUAUCUGAACGGAGAUGCGAAACUUUAGUGGCGAACCUGUUGGGAGGAGAUCCAACAAGGUCGGUGUUGAGUCGACACAUGGGAGGACUUGAAGCGAGAGUUGAGAACUCAAUUCCUACAGGAGAACACAAAGUUCAUAGCAAGAAGGAAGUUGAGACAACUCCGCCAGAGUACCACCAUUCGAGACUAUGUGAAACAAUUUUCUGCACUAAUGCUGGACUUACAGGACAUGUCCGAGAAGGACAAGUUGUUCAGCUUCCUCGAUGGUUUGAAGUCAUGGGCUCAACAUGAGCUAAAUCGAAGGAAUGUUACCGAUGUGGUCAGGGCAAUUGCUGCUGCAGAAAGGCUCACCAACUUUUUUCCUCUGAAGACCCAGGGAGAAGGAAACAAUCUUCAGGCAAUCGCCCUCCAAAACAUUUUCGAGGGAAGGAGCUCGGGAGCGAACAAAAGAAGAAGAGUUCCCACAAAGGGCCAAACCCGAAAGGCAAGGCCUCAAAACCUGGAGGAUGUUUCUUGUAGGGAGGACCGCACAUGGUGAGGGAGUGCCCACAAAAACAGUCACUCAAUGCUUUGACGGCUUCCAUCCGCCCCCCCCGAUCGGACAAGGGCAAAGCUGUUGCUCUUAGUUCGAGCAAUUCUGAAUCCAGCAGCGACGACGAGGAGUCGCAAGGACCCCGAAUGGGAGCAAUGCGUUUGUUGAACGCCAUGCGGGGUCAAGUGGGGGAGAACAUCAAGACAAAGCUACAAAAAGCAGGAAGUAGUGAGCUGAUGUAUGUGGACAUCAAGCUAAAUGACCAAACGACCCGUGCAAUGGUGGACACGGGCGCUACCCACAACUUCAUAGCCGAUCGAGAAGCACAGCGACUUGGGUUGAUCUUAGAGAAGAGCCCAAGCCGAAUGAAGGCGGUGAACUCAGAGGCCAUGCGAAUCUCCGGGUUGGCGAAGGGAGUUCCCAUCAAAAUCGGGACAUGGAGCGGGAACACCAACAUGAUGGCCAUACCAUUGGAUGACUUCCGAGUGAUUCUUGGAAUGGAGUUUAUGCACGCGGCGAAGUUGGUGCCAAUGCCGUUCUUGAACUCCCUAUGUAUGAUGGGAGGUGACGACCCCUGCGUGGUUCCCGUCUCUCGGAGAGGAACCAAGGAGCCACAACACAUAUCGGUAUUACAACUGAAGAAAGGGGUGCGAAAAGGCGAAUUAACAUUCGUGGCUGCUAUGAAGUUAGAGCCACUCAACGAGAAGGCCAUUCAAGAACCUGUUGUGGUGGCGUACGUCCUGAAAGAGUUCAAUGACGUUAUGCCACCCGAGUUGCCGAAGACUCUUCCACCACGCAGAGGCGUGGAUCACAGCAUCGAGCUGGAGCCAGGAGUGAAGCCUCCAGCGAGACCACCCUACCGCAUGUCCCCGCCAGAGUUGGCGGAACUCAGAAAACAGUUAGGUGAAUUGCUAAGUGAUGGUCUCAUCCGCAGCUCUAAAGCACUUUUCGGAGCUCCAGUUCUCUUCAAGAAGAAACAAGAUGGGAGCCUCCGAUUAUGCGUCAACUACCGAGCCCUUAACAAAGUGACAGUGAAGAACAAGUAUCCCAUCCCGCUCAUCGCGGACUUGUUAACUAGUUGGGCAAAGCUAAGUAUUUCUCGAAGCUCGACCUUCGGUCGGGGUAUUGGCAGGUACACAUAACUGAAGGCGACGAAGCGAAGACUACUUGUGUGACCAUGUAUUGAGCGUUUGAGUUCUAGGUGAUGCCUUUCGGCUUAACCAAUGCUCCGGCCACGUUCUGCACUCUCAUGAACCAGCUAUUCAAGGAGUAUUUGGAUAUGUUCGUGGUCGUCUACUUGGACGAUAUAGUCGUCAACAGUCAAACGCUCGAGGAGCACGUCAAACACCUUCGGACAAUUUUCAAGGUUCUCAGGGAGAACACUUUGUUCGUGAAAAGGGAGAAAUGCCACUUUACUCAAACUGAGAUCUUAUUCUUGGGGCAUCGAAUCGGUGAGGGCUCUAUUCGGAUGGAUAAGUCGAACGUGCAAGCGGUUGCGGAAUGGUGGACUCCAAAGAAGGUGCCAGAGUUGAGAUCCUUCCUUAGUUUCGUCAACUACUAUCGACGCUUCAUAACGGGGUACUCGAAGCGUGCAACUCCACUGAUGGAGUUACUGAAGAAACAACAGCCUUGGAAGUGGUGUGACAAAUGUGAAAUAGCAUUCCAAGAUCUGAAGGCUGCUGUUAUGGAAGAACCAGUACUCAAAUUGCUAGACUAUGGGGAGCCUUUUGAAGUCCAUACAGAUGCUUCGGACUUCGCUAUUGGGGGAGUACUCAUGCAGGAGGGUCAUCCGGUGGCCUACGAGAGCCGCAAACUCAACGAGACUGAGCGGCGAUAUCCAGUGCAUGAGAAGAAGACAGCGGUGAUCCACUGUCUACGAGUUUGGCGACACUAUCUCCUCGGAUCGCGAUUUGUGCUGAGCAGACAGAGUACUUGGUGAAGUGGCGAAAGCUUCCCCGAACUAAAGCCAGUUGGGAGCCUGAAGACACCCUGCGACAUGAAGAAGAAAUCAUCAACAACUACCAACAAGCGUCGACGAGGGCGUCGACAGUUUAAGUGGGGGAGAAUGUCACGAACGGUCGUUGUGCACCCGCAACAACUCCGUUCAACGAACCGUUCGUCGCUCUCAUAUACAUGUACAACUACUUAGCAGCCUGUUUUGCCUUGGUUUUGAGUCAUUUUGCUUGUAAAAAUGGAAGUUCGAACAAGCUACAGCGUUACAAAGCGACCGCUCACCGAACCGAGCAAAACAGCUCCAAAAUAGCUCCGUUUUCGUGUACCGCAGGCUGAUUUCUGGAAUCUGCCUCCGCUCACCAAAAACGUCAACCAUCUCAGCCCCUUNNNNNNNNNNNNNNNNNNNNUUUUGAGUCAUUUUGCUUGUAAAAAUGGAAGUUCGAACAAGCUACAGCGUUACAAAGCGACCGCUCACCGAACCGAGCAAAACAGCUCCAAAAUAGCUCCGUUUUCGUGUACCGCAGGCUGAUUUCUGGAAUCUGCCUCCGCUCACCAAAACGUCAGCCAUCUCAGCCCCUUGGAAUCCCCCGGGUGGCACAGGGCUGGAUGGGGCUUCGGUAUAGUACCGGGCGUUGAACACUCCUUCACAAGUUCGUACGUUGCCUUGACGGGAACUUGUUGUCGCGCUCGGGACUCGGUGAGCAGCUGUUUGUGGGCUUGCAGCUGUUCGUUCAACCUUCUAAAGCCUUGUUUUCCCCCUCUCCCUCUUUUCUCUUAUGCACGCAAGGUGCUCGCUGAAUUGCUUGUAAAGCUUCCCCUUUUCGCGAGACUUCGGGACUUGUCUGUUGCUCGUUCUUUCGAACUAAUCAACUUUCUCUUUUACAGGUCCUUCGGGACCUGCGAGAGGUUGCAAGUGGGCUGAUCUUUGUGGAGCAAUAUCGCAAGGGCGAAGCGCGACUUAGGCAACGCAAGCUAAGUUCGCGUCUUGGCCGCAAGGGUGCCUCACGCCUUAGACAAUUCCAGCUAAGACCGUGACAGAUCGUCGCAAGUAAACAUAUAUAAAUUAUAUAUGGAGAUUGUUAAAUAUUAUUUGAUGCAUUCUAUCUUUAUUUUCGAUACUUACAUUUAGAUGGUCUUAAUUGUUUCAACCUCUAUGAUGAUAUUUAUUUGUUCACAUUGUUGAGUUUAUAAAUUUUAAGUAUAUAUACUAUAAACCUCAUCUUAAUCAAAUAUUAUACAUAUAUAUUAAAAAAUACGCAUGUCCUUGCCAUGUCCGUGUCCUAAUAUUUUUAAAAAAAUGGCGUGCCGCCAUGUCUGCGUCGUGUCAUGUCUGUGUCCAAUGUUCGUGCUUCUUAGGUUUAAGCCAACACGUGCUUCUUAGGUUUAAGCCACCAUAACAACCUCUACACAUUUAACCAAAGCAAACACUCUAAGCCAUUUGUUUUUUUAAUGAUAAUACACUGGAUGCAUCUCAGUCCAACCAAUUUAUUAUUGAAUAGGUUAAAAAUGUCUGCAACAAGAUUAUUGAAGUCAAACCAAUCUCUCACUUGUCAUUUGGUGCUAAUCAGUCCACAGAAAUUUUUUUGACCCAAAUUUCCAACCCAGGAACCAUGUCGCACUUGUUUCAUUAAGACUUCAUGGAGAACUGAGAGAACAUAGAGUCACUGGAUGUUCUUUCUCUCUGGAGAACAAAAAAGUCUUCUUGCUGAAGAAUAUCGUGAUUAAGAUCAUCAUUUACUUCCAUUCCAUGUUAUAAUAGACUUUGGUAUUAUUUCCAACUUUUUUUAUGAUAAUAUCUGGGUUAUGGAUAACUGUAUUACAAUUUAUUAUCUUGGUAUCACAUAUCAUCACCUUGUGCAAUGCUCUGUUAUUAUACACCAAGUGAAAGUGUAAACUCUAUAUGAACAUUUGACAUUUGGAUAUUUGUCAUACCAAAUUUACCUCUUUGUAUUCACAACAUCUGAAUUCACAUUAGUGGCCCAAAAUGGUUUCCUAGCACUAACUAUUUUAUAUCCAUAAUGGAAAUCUGCAACAGUGUGUCUUGGUCAUGCUAUUUAUAAUGCUGUUUCUGCUCUACGAAGUUUCUUACAGUUCCUUGGUGCCAUCAUAAGACACAUCCAAACCAAAGCACAUCAUCAUAUGAUAAUAAACAAUAUAGCUUAUGCAAGUGUACGUGAUGGACAUAAGUGAAAAGGCAACAUUUCAUUGCAACAAUCCCUUCACAAAAAAAAAAAAAAAAAAAUCCAGUCACUCAACCCAAAGACAUUACUCAAGAUUUAGUUAAAAAGAAUACUACAACAUAUAUAAUAAAUAAAAAGUAAAUGCCCACCAGAACAUAAUAAGUGCUAUUUCAUUGAUUCUCAAUCUGUAAGAAGCACUAUAUCAACAAAAUAAAUCUUAGAAUUAGUGUAUUCUGAGCAAUUAGAACUCCAAUUAUUCAUCCUAAAAAUAUGACUUUCUUGAGUUAUCUGCAGAAGAAAUCUACAGUGAUCAUUAUAGAUUCUUCAACCUUUGGAAGGUUUAUUGACCUUGACCAGAGUGUGGCCCACUUCUCUAUAAUCUAAGCAACUAAUUAACGAUGAUACCUGCAUAAGAAAAUACCUCGGUCCAUAUAUUGAUCUGCAAGGUAAACCACUUAUGGUUCCAUUGAUAUUUCCAAUAUCCUCACAUAAUCGAUCAACAUAGUAGGUCAGACAUAUUCUAAACAGCUCCACUUACUUCCUUAUACACCUUAAUAAAAAAAAGCGCAGCUUCAGUAGGUUAACUGAAGAUCAGAAAGGGAAAUAUCAGAGGCAUUGUUUCUUGUCUCGAAAAUGUGAUCUUGAUAAGUUCUUUGUUCUUCGGUAGACCUUGAAGCUUUUAGCUAAUCACAUUCUACCACCAUAAGGUCAGCCCUAAUACAACUGUUUUGAAUGAACCAAGUUUCUAAAACAAAUAGGUGAUACUAGAAGUUGCAUAAGUAUUGUACAUUAACAACAAGAUAUGACAGAAAAAAAACGUGUAUACAGGUUGGAGGCAGAAGGAAAGAUAUUUCCGCUUUAAUUGUAAAUGACAUAAUACCAUACCCUACUAAUGCUAUGAAUGAUCACCAAUUGUUACACUAAGUUUCACGCCUUCGGAACAGAAAUAUUGGAAAUAAGGCAAACAGGGUAGCUCAAAGCUAAGAUUUCAUGCACAUCCAGUGUUGCGAACUCGCUACACAAAUAGAACCAGCGACCAAGCCCUGGAUUCACUCCGCAACAAUGGAAACCAAUAAACAUCAGGGUCAAACCCAGAUCAUCCAAGAAAGCGCAAGAAUCAGAUCCAAAGAGGACAAGGCGGGGAACUCACGUCGAGGACAUGGGUGACGCCGAGGGCCUUGAGGAUCUCCCCACUGGGGGCGUUGUCCAAGGUAGAGGAAAUCCUUCAGGAUCUCUGUGGGAAAGGCGGAGGGAAAUCCUGUUGGGUCGGCCGCUCGAAGGCGGAGGGGACGCGGUGGCCGCAGACCCCGCCCUCCUUGGGUUCAUGAAACUCAAUCUAUGCGUACACGUGGAGAAAAAGAAGCGGGUGAUGACGAGACCCGUCGGCCAUCUGAUGGAGAGAGAGAGAGAGAGAGAGUGGGUACAUAAACCAUGGUUGUAUUUGGAUUUAUAAACCAUGGUUGCAUUUGGAGGGAGCCCAAAGGAAAGCAUAAACUCGACCCACCAGCGGGCCCACAGCGGAGGAUACAGUUUCUCGUAGUGUGGUUAACAUAAUCUAUGAUACAAUAUGUUUUCUUCUUUCAUCGUCUGUUAAUAUCGCUUCACAAAUUUAUUGUAUCGGAUAGGUCGGUUUUAGUGGGUUAAGAAGAAGAAGAAGAAGAAGAAGAAGAAGAAGAAGAAGAAGAAGAAGAGGGAGUUAAAUUUCAAUCGUAGUUGCCCAAGUUGUAAUCUGUUGCUUUUUCACGAAGAGAAAGAGAGACGAAGUCAUUACGCGAGGACAGUGGUUUUUGGGGUGGGAAGAUGCCUACUUCGUAUUAAGUCUUAUCCGCUGCUUCUCUCUCUCUGUCUGCUCUUUUCCCACAGUCGCUGCUGCUGCUGCUGCUGCUCUCAAAAGCAACCGAAGACGAAGAGUCGGCUCGAGGUUUGUCUGAAAGAUGGAGAGCGUGGCGGCCCGUCUGGGCCGGUCGUCGACCCGCUACGGUCCAGCAGCGGUCUUCAGCGGACCCGUGAGGCGGUGGAACAAGAAGUGGGUCCCGCUCUCCAGUCCCGACCACCACCGUCGCCGCAACAACGGCGCCAACCCCCACCUCCUCCUCUACAGGUGGACACCCGUCUCCUCCGCGGCUGACGGCGGCGCAACCACCGCCACCCCCUCCAAGGACUCUGCCACUCCCCCGCCCGAGGAGCCGCCCCGUAGGAAGUUCCGCUACAUCCCGGUAACCCUCGUCUCCUAUCCUUCCCUUUCGAUUGGGUGCUUAAUUCUUCGGCACAAGUCUUCUGCGACUCACGGGUGGGCGAGGUUUGGUUCUUGUGGAAUUUGGGAAGGAGGGUCUCUUUCUCUUUCUCUCUCCCUCUCGUGAUACACGAGUGCUAUUUUGUUGCCCCUCUUAUGAUUUUGGUGGGUUUCCUCCCGAGAACAGUAUGAAUGAUGAAAAAAUCUCUCUCCUCGGAAGAAGAAGAAGAAGAAGAAGAAGAAGAAGGCGACAUCUUGCUAACGGAACGCGAAUUUGGGUCCUUUUUUUUUUUUUCUUGUUCAUGAUAUGGGUUUAAUCAAAAAUAAAAAUUUAGCUGCUUUCUAUCGUGACUCUUCCUCGGAAAGGAGGCAGGAAGAUGUUGUCGUCUUUGUUUCUGUGAAAUGUACACUGAUGGUUAAAUUUUUGAGAGGGAUGACGGCGAGUGGAAAUUUUGCUGAUGAUACAGAAGAGUAAGUGGUUGUUGACAACAUGAUGGCUGGGUCGGUGACAUCCAACUCACAUGUUCAGAUGGAAUGCUAAUUGAAAUCACCUUGUCCGCAUCUAGUGCUAAGUUUUUCAAAGACUAUGAAAACCUGGUUGUGUGGAAGAUAUAGUCAUGACGAUUCCUUUUUCUUUACUUUAUCAGCGAGGGAGUUACGUAUAAGAUGCUAACUUGAAGAUGUUGGAGUAGUAUGGUAAUGGUUAUGGGCUUAUAGAAAUAUUUCUCGAGUCUAUACAAAAAGCUUCUCAUAGCACACAAUUCUAAUUAUACCGUGAGUGUGUUGAAUGGAGCUCCAGUGAAAUCAGAUGGUUUGUCUUCUUGGUUGGGGUUGUAUUGUGUUGUGUUGUUAAGAAAUAGACAACUUCCAUGUAUAAGAUCCUGAAUGAUUCCUUAGAGAACCUUAGAGUUGGCCAUGCAUAAUAUUUGAUAGUUAGUAUUAAGAUUCUUUUGGCUUUCUGUGGUUAAGUUGGAUAGAAGGUUAUAUGGACAUGGCUUGUGAAAAGCUUAUGCCCUUAUCCCUUUUGAACUUUUGGGUUCUGACGGUUUCUAGUUAUUCUCUAGCACUAUGAAGAUAAUUGAGACUGUCCCCCUUCAAAAAAAUUAGUUGUCUGCUGAAAUUAUUGUUGUAUUUUUCUUCAAAACAAGAUAUAUGUAUAUAUGUAUGUAUGUGUACUUACAUCAGGGAGAUUCAGUAAGUUUCAGUUUUCACCAAAAUCGUAACCUAAAUCACCAAAUCAGAAGAUAAAAGCUUCAUAUUUGGAUCAAAAUUGUUCUCCUCUAUGCAUUUGUGCCAUUCUGCAGCCUUCUUUAGCACCAUAUGUCAGCAUUUUCUCGUUAUUGACAGAAUAUUAUCUUCUCUUAUUUAUCUUUGCUCAUUAUAAAUACAGGUGUGUGUUAUAAGCAUCUCUAUAUACUAACUUGAUCAUUUUUUAUUAGUCAUGUUAGGUAAAUCCGAUGUAGAUUCUGGUCAGGCUUUCUAGUAGAUGAGUGUAACUUAUGAAUAAUGCAGAUUUCUGUCGUUGAGGAGAAGAAGAAGGAGGCUUCACCAAAGUCCAAUGAGGAAACUAAAAAACCUAAUGAAACCGACAAAUUCCCACGUAUAGGCCAAAUCAAUCCUUCAGGCAAAAUACCUGACAUGAAAGAUGUCUUGGCGGAAGAAGUUCAGGUAACAAUUAAUUUCUAUAUGCUUCCUGGCUGCAUCUUUCUCUAUAGAAUAUGCCUACUUCUACCAUUACCAUGAGUUUCCAUAACGUAUUUCAAUUUAUUUGUGGCCACUAUGUGGACCCUAGUGCUUACUUCCAUAAUAUAUUUCAAAUUAUUUGUGGCCACUUUGUAGAUCCUAGUGCUUGUUUCCAUUUCAUACAUAUAUUAAAAGGCUGCUUCGAUUGAUAUGCUUCGUAUAUUUUCGAUGUUCACUUUGACUCUCACAACUACCACUUAUGAAAUACAUGCUCGGUGGUGGUUCUACAUCGGUGGCAUGUUUGUAACAAUCAGAUUAGUUCAAGUUGGGAAGGUCAGAAGGAUUGAAAUAGUUAGUUAUUUGCAUUGCCCUGUUCAAUGCGACCUGGGAUGAAAACUGUAAUUCCAGUAUACUUGGUGUAAAGCAGAAAGUUAGCAUCUAAACUUGUUGUUCCACUGAACUAAAGUUGUGAAUCGAAGGUGGCGAGAUUGAUAUACUUUGAAUGAUCUGUUUAUUAAUCUGUCUUUUGUUCGUCUUCAAUCAUGCAGUCUACUGGCUUAGCGAGCCUCGAGCAGCUAGAUAUCUGGUCAACCUCACGCCAUUUAUACUUUGGAAUAGGAUUCCUUUUGCUCUGAUACCAUCCUGUUCUGUAUUACCUGAAUAGUUGGAUCAAACAAUGCUUGUUGAUUUGUAUGACACAGAUAUUGAUGCUUGGGGGUUUCAAGAGAUGCGAGUGAAGUCCUAAUUUUAGUAUCUUUUUCCAGGUACCAUACAAGGAUCAGGUUCCUUCAGAAGAGGGUAGUGGAACUGAUUUGGACCUAAGUCUGGGUUUGAGAGCUCCGGAGGGUGAUCAUGAGAAGGAACUCAGAACAAGUAAACAAGGCGAAGGCCAUGGCAAAUCGGAGAGAGCAGCAAUAAAAGCAGAAGCGCGAAACAAGUUGAAGCGGAAGGUCGUCACCCCGGACCUUGAAAUGAGAGUGUAAUGUAGGAGGUUGAGUUUGUGCUUAGUGUAAGCUCUUCGUCAUGCACGCGCAACUGAUGCAAUUGUAGUGAUCUAUCGUUUAAGCUUUAAGCUUGUGCGGUGUGGUGUUGUGGUUUCUUCUCUGGGCCUUUUUAUUAUCUCGAGUUAAUUUGGAUGACUGCUGUGGUUGUGGUUGUGAUUGAUGAAUGAGGCACUUGGUGGUUCCGACGAUAAAAUAAAUUGCAAAUUCUGGAUGCAAAGGUCGAUCGAUGCGAAGUCAAUUGUUUGCAUACAUCUGAACAGGAGUGAAGCUGUGGAGCUGAUCAAGUACUCCUCCUUCCCACUUGGACGAAGGCUGGGUCGGGUUGGGCUUGCAUGCAAGCCCUGUGGGCCUGCAUGCAGUGUGGGUUUGAAGGUUACCGGCCAUUGUUGCCCGCCUUGUUUCCCUUCGGCUUCUUUUCCCGUAAACCAUCUCCCCGAUCACUAUGGCAUUGUUUAGUAGAGCUCUGGGACAUGAUGGGAUAGGUGGAACUUUCGGUGUCGAUGCUGAUGAGUCUGAGAAAGGGCGGGGAAGGAAUCUUCCGAGGGAAUCAAUAGGCAGGAAGAUUGUUGGGUAAACUCGAUAAACAUCCCCAGUACCUUUUUUACAUCCACUCUCUCUUUCGCUGCUUAACCCCCCAAAGAUCAUGUCGCCAUCGACUAGAUCCGCAUCAUCGAUCUGAAACAUAAUCUUUUGCUUUGUUGGCACUGGAAUCUCCCGAAGUUGUCUAUUUUGACUAUAAGGAUGAUCUUGGAGAUGUACCUUUUUUUUCCUCUAGCAAAUCUUAUGAGCAGAUUCAGUGUGAGUGGAGCUAAAGGAGCAAACCAGAAGAAGCUAGGAAGAUGACCCGAGAUAUAUCCUUUACAGUCUCAGUUGUACGUGGCAGAAAACCUCUGUGAUGUUUCGUUGGUUGGAUGAGUUUGACUUGCGAUUCCACGGUGAGACCAAAUCUAAAGAGGGGGAGAUUUGGGACUAAAGAGACAUUAAAGCGGACUAGUAGUCAAAGUUACUUGGUCGACGGGCUGGUAGUGGAAUGGUUAGUAGGGGUAAUCAGACAUUAUGAUAAAGAAAUUGGACAGAUUAAAAGGUGUAAAGUGUCUUAGCAUAGAGAUUAAGUGUUAGAAGAUAUUUAAGUAGCAGGAGAGAUUAAGAGAAAAUAAUCUCACAUCGAUAAAUAUCGAGAGAGAGAGAGAGAGUCUAUCUAGUUCACAAUCUAACAACCUAAGCUUUUGGAUUUAAUUGGUGUCUAAAUCAAUAUAAGUUAACCUGACUAAUUUGACUCACUUACCAUUAAUGAACUUUUUAACAUGGUUUCAUUGAUGAAAUAUACUUUUAGGAAGAAGGCUUAUGGAGAGAAUCUUUAGCACAGAAAUCAUCACCUUUUUCAUAUUAAUCUGUAAUAUUACUCACAAUUAAAACGCUAUAGAAAGAUGGAAGCCUCGAACCAAAGGGAGAAGUCAAAAAAUAUAGCACAUAAAUGAUGGGGAAAAUAAAAAAGGCAAAGCUGCAAAAGUUGGAAGAUUAAUAAAGCGGAAUAUAUGUUGGCAAAGAUCCGACAAGUUACAAAAUGAAACAUAUACAUCAAAAGCUUUUCUUGGAGAUGAGAAUCAUAGCAUGACAAUCGAAUAAUUGUCGUCGAUAGGCUUCUCAAUUAGCAUAUGUUUGAAUCAUGCUUAUCGUGAUAAGAAAAACGAAAGAAGAAAGAAGCUUCGAGGAUGGAUGCCCACAGGUAGGUAUUAGCCUCCAUCCCAAACUCGGUAUGUGUUGGUGCAAAAGUACGCUGGGCUAUGGUAUCCUAUGUUUCUUCUGCAGCUUCGCACUGCUUUGUGUAUAUCAACCUCUGUCUGUCUUAACGAGUCUCCUCUCGAUCGCUGUCGCUCUCGCUCAUCGAUCGAUGCAGGUUAUUAAUUAACCUUUCUGGGCAUUUGUGUGUAUUUUAUUUAUAUAUUGACCUCCUUUUUUCCUUGGUGCUGAUUCAUGAUCGAUCACCCCAUUUAAUUAUAUUACGGUCGUCUGACAUGCAGAAAACUGGCUUUUGCACUUAUGAGACCAUGGAAUUGCACCCCUUCAUCGAUUGAGAAUCUGGACCCUGGUCCGUGGCCGAUAUCUUCCUUGUCUUCUCCGUAGGCAAGAGGAACAUUUUGGUCCAGCUCCUCUUAGUUUUCCUCUACCAACCAGUCACUCUCGAUGGUUGUAUUCGAUCAGAUGUAAGAGCAGAAAACUGUGUGUAGCGCUGCAACCGAGCUUUCGUGUCGUGAGUUAUCUUCACGACGGGUUCAUGUGCUGGACUGCUAAGAGAUUGCGACACAAGAGAGAGAGAGAGAGAGAGUCGGAAUCAAUCAAUGAUGUGUAGAGGUGUCUAUGUGGUGGACUAGUGGUGCAUAUUUGUAGCACAUAUGUUUUUCUAUGUUCCAAUUCUUCCAUUGCUUUUCAUGAUAUCAUACUUUGGUCCCCAUGUGUUUUGAUCGAGUGCGUAACCUUUUCCUGACUUUAUUAACUCCACCUGCGCCUACUUCCUCAAACUUGUCGCUGCCCGUCUCAGUUUUUAGGUCAUUCUUAUGGCGGACUUGCGCUUGCUAAUGUAAAUGCUCAGCAUGAGUGACGUGGUGGUCAGGAAAUUAAGGAACGGAUGCAGGGCAGAAGCGAGGAGAGGAAGUGAUAGAAACGGAGAGAGGGAGAACCACAAGACCUCCGAGGGGAUUCCUUAGGGAUGGACUUCCGAUGACGUCAAGUCGGUGCAGUCAUUGCGGUAGAGGUAAAACUCAGCAAAAGAAGAGCAGCUUUUGUUUUGUUUGGCUGUCUGUUUGGCUAUUUGCUCCUUCUCUUCUUCUUUUCCAUCCCGUUUUGCUUUAGAUUGUCUUCUUGCAGCUUGUUCUCAUUGAUUACUGCUCUUCCCGUUUAGCCGAUGGCACGCGCGCGGAGUAGAAGAGAAGGGAGAAGCAGAUUCUCUUGCCGCUUUGAAUUGCCGAUGAGUGAGAUCUCUUACACUCUGUUCAAGCCGGUUGACAGCCGUGGCACGUAGAAUUGGCCUACGACUCCUCUGAUAAUAAUAUCAGUGACACCUUAAUUUCUUUACCAUCUUAUAUUCGGGCGGAGGAGGGAAGCAAUGAAGAAGAAGAAGAAGAAGCUGAAGUUUUGAUCGUGUCUGUCGAUAUAAAGCCCCGGAUCCAUCAUCGCUCGGAGUGUGCGAAUCAUGAAAGGGAAGGCAUAUGCAAUGAUCGUGAAAGUAGACGGCGGUGGUGAUGGAGAAUUCGUAUCCGGAGGUGUGGGCCCGAAAGCAUUCCAUCAGGUUUGGCUAAUGGUGCUUUCGCUUGGGGCCUGCAAUAUUCCAUUUGUUGGCUAAUCAGCAGCUUCACCGAGAUGCCUCCUUGGUUUCGUAUUGAUGUGAGAGAGUUCGGUGGACGCUGGUCUUUGAGGGUGUGCUUCUUCGCUAGGUUAUUGCUGUGUCCCUCUCUCCCUGCAGACACAUGCUUAAACCUGGGAGAAACUAGGUAGAGUUGAUGAAUAAAAGUAUAGAGAGAGAGAGAGAGAGAGAGAGAGAUUGCUUGUUCCACAGUCUCCUCAUGCUUUCCGACAACAGGGGGAGGGGAUCUACAAGAAAGUUAUCGGAAAGGCCAUUAACGGAGAUCCCACUAGGUGAUUAAACAAAAGAAUGUUGGAGUCGGGAGGGUGUGCUGCAUGCCUGCCUUCCUCCAUUCAAUUAUUGAAAGCUUUGGGGGGGUGGGGGGGUGUCUAGCUAGGAUUGAAAAGGAGCGACAAGAAAAGAAGAAAAAGAAAAGACGAGGGACAAACAGAAGAUGGCUGAUGCCGCCAGUUCGGAGGAUUAGGAUCAGUCUUUUCUUUUCUUUUCUUUUCUUUUUUCGGUUGAUCACGCCUCAAUGUAAGCAUCUCUUUUCGUGUAUCCUAUGCGUGCUUCUUCCCUACUCCCCACCCCACCCCACACCAUCUCUCUCUCCUCUCCAUUCCAUAGUUUCCCCUGCGCUUUCUACCGGAUUGGAAUGCUCCCUGCCCACUCCUCGGCAUCGUUUAGAUUCCUCCUAUCUACCUUCGAUUAGCCCCAUCAUCAUUCAUUCCUGAGACGACACCAGACGGAGCCCCUAACCCAACCCUAGCUGGGAGCCCCCAAGUCCCACCCCACCCCGGGCGAAUUGCUGGUGAGAGAUCUGGGGGUUGCACCACAGUGGAUCUGCAGAGAAGCUGCCAACCUCUGCUCCUGCAACAACUCAAACUACUUCUACAACUAUCGCUACUCCCACACUGGUGUUUUUUUUUUGGCAGAUCAUGUCCUGUGAAGAUAGCUGCUAAAUCUCGACAUGUCCUAUUAAACCAAAGGGAUGCAAGUUCCAGAAAUCUCCCUCUACUCAUGUUCUUCUUCUCCGCCACUGCAUCACCAAUCCUCCUCUCUUGGCUCCCCCACCGCCCCCAUCCACCACUCUGGAGACAUGCUUAGCUCACUGAUGUCCGAUGGAGGAGGAGCUCGAGAAACCCACCCUCAUCCCAGUCAUCACCACCCGAGCCCUCAAAACGGCCUAAUUUCCUCGACUAUCCAUGCUCGACAACUGUUGAUCAGCUGUGCCGACCUUGUCCACCGCGGCGACCUCCCUGCUGCUGACCGCGCGAUCUCCAUCCUCUCUGCAGCAGCAUCCCCCUGUGGCGAUUCCACCGAACGCCUCAUCCGCCAAUUCUGUCGUGCCCUCUCCGUCCGCGUCGGCCGCGUUUCGCCCUCCGCUGAAUCUUUGGGUUCCCUCCGAUCAUCAUACUUGUCCUUCAACCAAAUCUCCCCAUUCCUCCGCUUCUCGCACCUCACCCCAAACCAGGCAAUCCUCGAGGCGGUUGAUGACCACCGCCAGAUCCACAUCCUCGACUUUGACACCUAUUACGGCCUGCAAUGGCCGCCUCUCCUUCAGGCCAUCGCUGAGCGCUCCGAUCCCAGUGAUCCUCCCUUCAUUCGUAUCACCGGAACCGGAAGCAACCUGGAAGUCCUCCGACGAACCGGUCACCGGCUUCAAAACUUCGCGCACUCUUUGGGCCUAGGGUUCCAGUUCCACCCUCUUCUCCUCCAUCCCACAAGCACCAGUUUGAAUUUCACCCCCUCUCCUUUCCGACUCCAUCCCGGCGAGACCCUUGUGGUGAACUGUGUACUGUUCUUGCAUAAGUUGCAAAAGGAGGGCGGGAAUGAGGACGGAUCCAGGGAUCUACAAGCAUUUCUGCGAACCAUACGAGCGAUGAACCCGUCGGUGGUGACGGUGGCAGAGAGGGAAGCAAGCCACAACUCGCCAAACUUCAUGCAGAGGUUCGUAGAGGCGCUGGACUACUACAUGGCAGUGUUCGAGUCAUUGGAGGCGACGCUGCCCCCGACAAGCCAGGAGAGGCUGGCGGUGGAGCAGGUCUGGCUGGGGCAGGAGAUCGAGGGCAUUGUCGGCGGGGAGGGUGGCGGGCACGAGAGGUCAGAGCGAUGGGAGAAUGUACUGCGUGACGCCGGAUUCUCAAGCGUUCAGCUCAGCAACUUCGCGGUGUCGCAGGCGCGGCUGCUGCUCCGGUUGCACUAUCCUUCGGAAGGCUAUCAGGUGGAGCUGGUGAGGGAUUCCCUCUUCUUAGGGUGGCAGAACAGGCACCUCUUCUCCGUGUCUUCUUGGCGUUAAAGAACCCGGAGGAGGAGAAAAAGGAAGUUCCACACGUUGCUCAACUACAACUAUUGUUGCCAACCUACUCGUUCUUUGGUUUCGCGAUGAUUAGCCAAACCAUAUCAAAUGGGCAAGUUUCGCACAUCGAUCUAUGCAUAUCGCUGAGCGUUCGUUGUGUAGACCAUCAUUAGACACCCUGGCUGGAAACCCUAACCCUAGCUUCUUCCAUAUUCUACUGGGAGGGAGGGAGGACAAUGCGGAUGCAAUGCACGUUGCAUGGGAAGUCUCGGAAGUUGUGAACACCAAAAGUCGUCUCCUCCUGCUUCCCAAGGUAAUCUCCCUUCUGGUAGGGUUCUCUUCUUUCUGUUCUCUCUCUCUCUCUCUCUCUCUCUCUCUCUCUGCUUUAUCUUUUGCAUCCAUUUGCCUGUGAACUGUAACCAGGAUUGCUGCGCCAUUUGUUAAGUAAUCGCCUUGCAUGCUGUGGAUCAUGUAUUCCCUUUUUGUAGGUUUGCAAUGAUGUGAUUUUGGCAUCGAGGAUAUGGUUCUUUUCUUUCUUUAGGGAAGAAGCAUAUGAUGGUAGUAUUAUGUUGUGAUGUAUGUUUUUGGUUUAGUUUAUUCUGGCUAAUUGGCAACCCACCAAAUUGUUGGUAUUUUAUGUUGCAGCUUGCAGUGGCAUCUUCUCUUUUGCUUGGUGCAUGCAGGAUGCUUUUUCGUGUAAUAAUCACGCUUGGUCACCACUAACCAGUAUCAUACAAUAUGCUUGAUCAGCAAAGUCUCCUCCCAUAAACAAAUCAAGGGAAGAAAAAGCUACAAGAGGCUAGAUGUGUUAAGAUUUGAUCUACGAGAGCAAUCAUGGCGUAGUGGAUAGAGAUCCUCGUCGAUAGAUUAGGUCGAUCCCUUGUGCUCCAUUCCUGUCUUUCUAACCUUGUUUAUAUCUUGUCUUUGUGUUCCCUCAAAUCACCAAAAGAACAAGGUUACUCACAAGGCCAAAUUUGGUCACACAAGUCAUUCCAUUUGGAAGAUUUGAUCUUCCAUGUCCGAUAAGCUUGCUUGGUUUGUCCACCCCCAAAUUAAGAUAGCUUAUUAUUUCGAGAAAGAAUAUAGACUCAGAUGUGUGUAUAAAACCAAAAAAAAAAGGAUGCAAGAUCCAACUGUUUAUAGGAAUUAAUGAGAGGUCUAUCAGGAAAAAACAUUCGAAAAUAGUAUGCAAGAUCCAACUGUUUCUUGUGAUCACACAAGGCAUGCAACAUCGUUCAUACGUCCCAUCAUAUUCUCUCCUAAUGAUGAUUAAACUGCAUUCUUUCUGCCUUUAUAUCCCUCUCUUCUACCUUGAGAUAGACGAAGACCAUUGCGGAGAUAUUCUGAUGGAGGGCAGCACGGUUGGCCAGAUAUGGAUUACCAUAAAUGAUGAUAUAUAUAUAUAUAUGCACCGGGUUUUAAUUUCAUGUAAUCCUAGCGACUAAGUAACUUUGAAUUUUAUUUGUUAAUGUAAUGUUUUUUUAUCAUUGGAAUCGUCUCUGUCGUCUGAGGGCAACCGAAAAUAUAUAGACUUACAAAGUCAUAUGGCCGGCCAUCUCUGGUCAGUUGUCUCCCAAAGUUCUUCAUGACAGUAGCCAUAUGCAAGAUAGUUUAUUCUUCAAAGCGGUCUUACCUUGUUAUAUAAAACAAGACCCACCCCCCUUUUUAUAGUCAGUUCCGUUCCAUGGUGCGUGCCAAUUCCGAUGAUGCUCUCCUCGGUUCUGUUCCGAUGAUGGUGCUUGCCGAUUCCGAUGAUGCUUUCGUCGGUUCCGUUCCGUGGGACAGAAGAAGAGAUGGUGCAUGCCGAUUCCGAUGAGAAGGAAGGAAGGAAGGAAGGUAGCACAUGAAAUUAUGAACUGGAUUUGCUAAUCGCCUGCGAUGAGAAGAAGAUCAUACGAUACAUCAACUCCGAGCAUUGCACAGCACAGCCACUGCGCUUACGACAGCAUUAAAACAAGACAUUUAUUUAUGUAUUCGAGCGUUGAAAACAUAGGAAUUUAAACAAACAAUGCUUAUGCACUAUGCAUUCCACCUAUGAAUUUUUGGCCUAGCGGUUAAUAUCCUCAUGGUGAAGAGAUUAAAGAUUGAAUUAGUGCUCUAGAUUUGACGCACGAUCUAAAUUCCCCAAGUGGAAGUGGUGAUUCUUCCUAGAAAGACCAAAGAGCAGCACCGUGUAGUCAAUUUCAGAGAGGCAUGAGAUGAUGGAUGGAUGGACUGGGAAGGGAAACUACUGCAGAUGAAGAUAUGUGUAAAUGACUCUACAUCUGUAGUUGCAAUGAUUAAGGUGGGGCGAGCGAGGACGAAAGGAUGGAAUCACUUUUGCUGGAAACUGAGCUUCUUAUUUCCGUCUGCAUGCACAAGCAGUGCAGAUAGACAUCCUAGAUAUUUUGUCCAAGUGCAAGUGCCAACACUCAUGAAGGAGACAUCAUGCCCCCAUUUGCAUCGGGCCAUGGCAGAUGGUUGGUACCUUGGGACAAAGGCUUGGAACUCUACCAUGCUCCUGGUACAAAUGUGAGUAGCUUUUAGUUUCUGUGCCACACACAGCGAUCGGAUACCGAUUACCAAAGGGAUCGAUCUGAUGUUACAAACUCAGGCUUUAAUCGUUCCUGCAAUUAUUGUAGUGCUUCAUACGCUCUUGUUCUUCUUCUUCUUCUUCUGUGCAUCGUCGGGAUAAGAAGAACCUUAUUCUCUCCACUGAUUCAUCUGUGUGUGAGACGAAGGAUGAAGGAUGAGAUGUACUGGAAGGAACAAACAGGCCCGUCGCGCGUUUGCCUUUCGGAAGAGAGUGUCUGGCUCACAAGGAUCCUCUGGCGAUUCUAAAACCAUCGAUUCAUCCACCCGUAGCGUAGGAGAAGCUGUGGGAAGCAAGUGUGAAAGCGGUCUUUGCAUCUUUUCGGGCAACAGUACCCCGACAUCUGACGGGAAGAGCCAAGCUGAGAAAGCACGCAUGCAUGGUCCACCCUCACCCAGCUAGCACAGGGAGGGCGACCGGCUUCCAUUGAUGCAUCAUCAUAUCUGGGCAUCUUGUGCAUUCCUUGGGACGUCAUCCCGUGGAUUCAUGUGAUCAUCCCACCAAGUUAACUAGUAGAUUAGAUGUUCGGAUGCACCUUCCUCCCCCUUCCUCCCUGCUCGAUUUGGCCUCUUGUCAGAUUCUACAGCUGGUGACAGGGACGGAACAAACCCAGGCUUAAAGCAUGCCUCCUCCGACGAGAGGCCACCCACAUCAUGCGUAGGCAGGUAGGCAGAGAUACACAAGUAAUUAGAAUGAUUCUAAGCGGGCAGGCUUGUGUAACUGGUACACACUGUGCACACGGACGAGCUCCGGUAGAUGCUCCAAUUAGAGUGCAUCUUUGUUUUAUUUUUGUUUUUGUGUUUGUGUUGGGUUUUGAAGUGAGCUGCUGCUGCUGCUGCUGCUGCUGCCUAAGCAAUGAGAUUUUGGUACGUUGUGCAUAGAGUUUACAGCAUUACGAGAACGCACCCGUUGCUUCUCAUUUUUCUAAAGGCUUUUCCUUCGAAUGGCCGCCAGAAGGAAUAUGGUUUGACAAGUAGCGGGAGAGGAGAUGGGAAUGGGAAUGGGAAUGGGAAUGGGUCCACACAGCACCAACAACGACUGACGAGAUGAAAGUGUGUGAGCAGACAUGGAUUUAUUACUGACUGGCAGUAAUGCCAAAAAGUGUGCCCCCUCUGCAGAAUCUGACUGACUUAUUUGAGGCCCAGUAAUGAGUGUGUGCGUUACCUAAUAAUUGGCAUGCACACAAAUGCACGCCAGGUCGACGGAUGACACAAGUGUGGUGGCACGUAUAAGAUAUACACCACAGAAGAAGAAGAAGAAGAAGAAGAAGAAGAGAUGCGACAACACGCCCUCGCUCUCCAUCUUAUCAUCAUCAUCAUCUGCUUAUGCAACAGCUACCUGUAUUUAUCUGACCAUCCAUCCAUCCAUCGUACGCUCAAGCAGCAGCAUGCCAUCGACGAGUAGUAGUAGUAGUAAGUAACACGCAACGCAAAAGAAAUGUGUAUUAGCUACUGGAUCAUCGCUACACAAUCAAAUAAAAAGAAGCAUAAAUGCCAGAUUGUCCUGCGAGAUUUGCAUGCAUGGACGGAGGAUCCCCGAGAUACAUAACACAACAAAGACGACAACGACAGGCAUUAGGUUCACAGAGAGACGACGGAAGAACCAUAAAAACGGGACGGGAGGUAAGAUUUACAAGUUAAAACAGGACAUACAUAUUACUAGUAUUAUCGUCGGUCGUUGUUUCAGCAGAGAGAGCAGAAACGAGCUAAACUCCUUACCGUGCUGUGUCCACUUCUAUAAGUGAGUGGGUGAUUCACAUAAAAAAGAUCAGAGAGACAGCUCGAUAGUGGAAAUAAGAAUGCCGUCACUAUCGGCAUAUAGCCAUUCACCAUCGUGGAUGAUGGUGCCCCCGAUGUUGACUGUGACGUGCUUUUCACCGAGACCCUUCUUGUUGGAUUUGAGGGGAUGGCAUCCCAGCGCUCUGACCCCGAUGUCACAGCCAUUGAUCUCAUACGCAUCUCUGAUGCACCCGUUCACCACAAUCCCUGCCCAUCCCAUGUUCUGGGCUAAUUGCCCCAGGUUCCCUCCCACCAAGGCGCAUCUCAUGCUCCCACCACCGUCUACCACCAGAACCCGCCCAUCCCCCGGCGCCUCCAGCACCUCCCUCACCAACACAUUGUCCUCGAACACCUUCAGCGUCACUAUGGGUCCACAGAAUGCUCGGCACUGCCCGUACAUUUGAAACAAUGGUUGAAGAACUCGUAGCUCCCCCUUCGCCAGAAGCGAUGCAUUUGCAUCGCAAAGCUCAGCGGUUGCCAAUGAACCCAUCUGCAGCACAGCACAAGCCACCAUGUUCAACUAGCAAGCCAUGUAUCUUUGUCCAGCAUUAAAGGAUAACAGGAGAACAGCGGUCGUAAGGCUCUGGAUCUACUGAUGAUUGCUAUUGCAGCCACAAGCUGCGUCGGUUGGCAUUCAUUUUUCUCGCUCGGUAGAAGCAUGCAUGUGGCAGAAAACCAUCGGAAAAGAAAGGUGCACUCAAAACAGUAUAAUAAGAAUGCAAUACACAGUUGAUGGAUGCUCGGCGACAAAAUAAACAAACGAAACAGCAUUUAGCGCAAUCUGACCACUCAGGAAUUUCGCCAGAUUGUCGGCAAAUUUCAUAUAAGAGAAAAAUAAAAUGUUAUUUGAGAGUCCUUAUUAGGUAAAUAAUGUGAUAGGAUUCUGUAUUUGAAAUCCUUUUACUUUCUUUAUUAUGGACCCAAAACAAGCUAGAUGGAAAAUUCAAGUUAUUGGCCAAAUGGCACUCCGACUUGGCUGCUUUAGUAGAAGAGGAAAGAUGACAUUUGUUGCUGUUAAGCAAGACUUCCAAGAACCAAGAUUUCUGGUAUGCAUGCACUAACUAGCUCACCUAAAGCAGCAACCAAACAAAUUAUGAAGAUCUACAAGACAGAACUAGAUAUGAUCAACAGCACCAGUAAAAUCACUAUUCAGUUGGGAGGAUUCCUGAUGUUUUUUCAGUGUUCAGUAGUAUUCCCCAUCAGUCCAUGCACAGAUCCACCAAUGGGAAUCUUUUUUAGGCUGGCCUUCUGAUUCUGUCUGCUUUGGUGCAUACUGAUGCUUCCUUUCUAUAGGAUGGGUCUUUUAUCUCUUCCCUUUUUUAUCAGAGGCUAGGUUCGGUCACAUUCUUCCGAUAGCAAAAUAUACUAUCACAAUCUUAUGUGACAAGAUCCAGCAAUAACAUUCCAGUCCAUUUCGGUCGAUGUCGACAGUCAUAGAUUUCUUGCCUCAGACCACACUUGUCUUACCACUUUAAUUAAAUGUUCCCCCAAAAGUCCCCACAGGAAGUGGCUGUAUGGACAGAUUGGUCGGUGCACUGUGAAGGCAAAUCCCACAAUGAAACUUUCCAAGGGUUUGAUAGUUCUUGCAUUUUACACUCUUUGUAGAAUGAAGGCAAUGCUAUAGACCUUUUGAUACCCUAAUCUUAAAGAGAAAACUAGAUGAAGAAACGGCUACACUUGAAAUAUUUGGUGCCCUGAGGUAUCAGCUUAAAAGCUGAUAAACUCGAUUUUUCAUUCUCCUGAUGUUUUCUCUUCCUUUGUUAAAUUCAUUUUCUUGUUCUUUGGUUGGCAAGACUUUUGUGUCUUUUGUUACAUCGAUUCCUUCUACCAAAUUUUACAUGAAGAGCAAGUGGAUGAACUAAAAUGUCAUACUCAUGGAAAGAAGAAACACCAAAGCAAUAUGAAAAGGUUAAAAAAGAUUAUAUUAAUUUCAAAUUUAGAUUACCCGAUUGACAUAUCUUACUUACACAAUGGUUCAAGAAACGAAAGGCAAAAUUGAAGUCGAUCAGCAAAAACAGGAAAGGAUCGCAUGACGCAUUAACCCCUUUCGUUUUAAUUGGAAUCAAAAAUAAUUUUGUUGGUUAUUCCAGUCUCCAAGAAAAAAGAACUAAAAGAAUCUGCUCCUUAACUUUCCUCUCUAAUUUUUCUCAUCUGAUCUCUAAAUAAGAAUGCAUACUUAGAGCUAAAAGAAUAUGCUCCUUAACUUUCUUCUCUAAUUUUUCUCAUCCGAUCUCUAAAUAAGAAUGCAUAAUCUUUGGUACUUUGGUGCCAGCCCAUCAAUCAAUUGUCUCUGCGAGUUACCUGAUACAGUGAUUCUUUCUUGUUUUGCUUCCAUAUGUGCCAUGUAUCAAACUAGGAACUCUUGUCCUUGGUAGUAAUUGGAUUGUCAUUGUGUGAGAUAUAAUGGUAACAUAUACGCAUAAGAGACUUUGUGAACAUCAUGAUCUGCCCAUUGAUAAAUCAAUUGUCCGUGCGAGUAUUUAGAUUGUCAUACUGUGAGAUCUACUAAUAAACCAAUUGCACCUAAGAGACCUAUGCGAGCAUCAUGAUCUGUCCCUUGAUAAAUUAAUUGUUGUCUAUGCCAUCUACAAGAGAUUGACGUGAGCAUCAUGAUGCAACCUUAAUAAAACAUCUAUGUCAUCUCGAUUCCUUCUUCUACAUCAAUUAGAGCUCCAAGAAAAGAUGGCACACCCCUGUUGAAGAUGCGUUCAAAAAUACAUGGUAGAAUACUAACAAAAUGAUCUGAUUUUUUUUUAUCAUAUCACAAUUUAAUCCGCACAUGAAGACCCUCCUACAACAGAAGUCUUUUAUUCUUGUACUACUUUAUAAGCAAGCAUGAACUAAUGAUGCACAUGCAUCAAGCAAGAAGCCUAUGGUAUCAUCUUUCUCCUGAUGUCUAACUCACUGCACUGAGCAGAAAACGGUAGCUACCAGUUGCUAUUUAUUGGAAAGUAAGACCUUUGCCGCUUGAUCUAUCACCAAGAUGGACUCUAUCAUGGUUUUUCUGCUGUUUCGCGCAUACAAAUAAGACACUCAGACAAAUUUAUAGAUUGUUUUGGACCACACAUUGAUUCCAAGCAACAGUCAAAAACUCGAGUCUCCAAAAUCCAGUCCUGAAACAUCUUUUGAUGCAUGAAAAUCCAUAGCAAAACAAUCGAAGUCUGGUGUACGUUUUCUCCAUAAUAAAGCAUGCACCUCAGGCAAAAUUACCUGAAAACAUCUACCUACCCGUGAAUAGCACCAGACAUUCCGUGGACAGAUCAAACUCUAAUGGUCAAUUCUGCUGGUUGUCCGACGGCAAGAAACACGUGACAGCCCUGACUAAUCUGAAAAUGAUGACAGAUAGAACUUGCCACUGCACAGUAAUACGCGACGUGCACUAUUGCCCAUCAUAAUUUCGAUCCCUUAAAUCUACUAGUGUCGAACAGCCAAAAAACAUAACCAAACGUAAAGCGUGAUCAAGAAUUCUGAACAAGAAAAAGAAUAAACACGUAUGAGGGAACGUAAGUUCUUUUGGACAAUACAACAAGCAUCUAAAGCGCACUGAAGAACAGCGAGAUUGGACACCGCUUAAAUUAACAGGAAUUUAAAAGCGCAUCUCUACGCAGAUUUCAUACCUGGCAAGACCGCAAAAGGCGAAACAAGGUGUUGCCGAAUUGGAGGUGGUCUCAGUGGGAUCUGCUGGAGCGCGGGGACUGCCGUAUCCCUAUCGGAACUGGGGUGGGAUAUCGUCCUGGAUCAGAAUGGAUGAGGCAUAAGACGGGGAUGCGGCAUGGUUGGCGGCAGGAAGUUAGAGCUUUUGAAACGGCUUACGGAGUUGGGUCUGACACGCACCCAUACCCCGUCCCGAUAAAGACGGCGUAGGCAUAUACCAUCGAGAGGAUCCCCAGCCAACCGAUGGGUGUAGCUUUGACUGAAGACCACCACCAUGGAUUCUAUCCUGGCAGGCGAACUGUUCCCAUCUUCAUCCAGUCUAUCGCCUUUUUACCGGCACGAAGGGCAAAGGGACUCCCUCAGAUUCGUGUUUGACGACGAGGGGGAGGCAGCAGGACUAUUCCUUGCACAUGAUGGACGCAGGUCAAUCAAAUCUACUUGGUGUGAUUCCCACAAAAAGAGGAAAGAGACACGAGGGUGAUGUAGUCAAUUCCGAUGGGCUGACCGACUCCGCACGUGGCGUACCACUACAUCAUUCAUUCUCUUGAUGCCACGCCACUACGAUCUACAUACCACCACGACCCACGUCAGCUAAAUCUCUCUCUCUCUCUCUCUCUCUCUCUCUCUCUCUGUGUCACACACACACACACACACAGUUGCAUCGCAUGGAAGAGCAUAAACAAGGAACAGGGAUCACAAAGGAUAUUGCAGCAUCUCGCACCACACUGAACCCUGUUUACAACACCGCAACACACGAUGAUUUGCAUUGAGAAACGAAUAGUUGCAGCAACGAAUCAAGGUGGCAGAGACAUUGAAUUUUGUGCAGCGUUCGUUCAACAUAUAACAAUGCACCAGGAACAACAUAACCAGAAGCUAUACCACACGGCAGGGAUAUGCUGAACCUAACACUAGUCAACAUAAAUGAAAACAAUUCGCAUGUUGUAUGCACAAGUCCCUCUGGUAGAAUUCUAGAAUCCCUUUUAUUGAUUAAGCUACCAGAUAUCUGUCGACAAUCUUCCGCAGAGGAUCAUGCUACCUGACUCUAUUCUUCGCCUCUGUCUCAGCCUUUCACAAAGAAUAUCUUCACUUUGCUUUAAGCUGAGAUACUCUUCCAUGUCAAAUGAAGACGCGGUUGUUCUGCUAUUAUAAGAAUUCCCCUGGUGGUUUUCUGCUCCAAACUUGCUCCUACUUGGGUCGCUAGAAACUACAGAAGAGCUGUCAGUGCCAUCAAAGCUCCGACUCCCAAAACUGCUUGCAAUUUGAUAGCAAUUACUGAAACCAGCACUUGCUUCCUGCAAAAAAUUUAGCUCAAGACUGUCAUUUAACUAAAUAGUCAGAGUCAUAACAUGAUAAGAUUCAAGCCAGGUGCUGUAACAAAUGCACAAGCCAAGUUUCAGCAUCAUCUAGGGAGGGGUCAAGUCCCAUGUGAUGAUAUACUUCACCGACAGGCUUCUUCAAAGAUUACAGGGGAAAGAAAUCUAACGACCAUCCAAAUAGAUAAAACUGUCUCAGAGAGAAAAUGUGAAAGAGGUGAAACCUUAAAUCUACUAGAAAAAUCAAUCGUUCGUACUGAAAAACAUCAAAGCAAAUGUAACUCACAAAUCCAAACCUUUUUAUGCUUUGUGCACGGGAUUUUCAAUUUUAACAGAAUGCAUGAACUUGGGAAACUUUCUAUAAAUUCCAAUGUCAAAAGAGCUCAAGAACGAAACAUAUUGGUUCAAAAUGGAAGGUCAGCUGCAAACUGAAAGCAUGCUUUUUGGAGCAAUGGAACAAACUAGAAGAGGAUAAGAAAUUCUUAUCUCAAGUUAUACCAUAGUGUUUCAUAUGAAGAUUAUUUUCAAAAUGAUGGUGAAACAAGAAUCCGAGCAGACCAACAUAUACAUCAAUGAAUAGUAUCAGUAAUCACAUGUUGAUAUCUUCAAGUUUGUUCAGCACUCAGACAACUAAAGAAAAAUAAUAUUCCCAACUUUCACAGUCCAUUCAGAUCCAAAAUGAGAAAAUGAUUACCCUAACAAUGCUACUGGCAUAGUAAAUGAGAAGAAACUGUAAAGAUCAAAAAGACCAAAAAUAAAUAAAAAAUGUGCUGGAAGUGCUGCAGUGCAUAACUUAUUUCCUGAGGAGACAGACAAUCCUACCUUGCUUUUGCAUGGUGAGGAAGGAGCAACACUAGUUUCCCACUCCAACCAGGGAAGUACAACACCGUCUCCAUCAGCAGGCAGAGGAGCAGUUUUCAAUACUCUUUCAUAAGUUCCCGCUACAGAAUUACGUAAUCCAGGAUCUCUUACGAUUGAACUAGCAUCACUUCUUUCUUCAUCGAAAGAAGAUAUGUCUGUAUCUUCAACAUUGAAAAGGAAAUCUUCAAAAUACUUCUCUGCCUCUUCAUUCAAGCAUUUAGACAGUCUUGUUCUAUCUUUGCUCCUCUGGGUAAUACUUUAAUCUAUUAGAUAUGAUGUCAUAAGAACGUAUAUGCUUUUAAUCAUUAUAUACAAUAGAAUUCUUACUCUUCUGGACUGUGAUUGCCUUUCUGGAACAACAGAUAUUUUUGGCGAAGGAAGCAACUCUUUGACAAUUUUGCUAAUCUCCUGACCACGUUCCUCCUCCAUUGCUAACUCAGCCAAUAAAUCCUGCUUGCGCUUCUCUGACUGAAGUACGUAUAAAUAUUAGUCAAAAUAGAACUAACAUAAAUCAACAUUGCACUUGAAAGGUCAACGAGACCUUUCCACAUAUCAUUAUCAAAUAGGCAUCUCAAAGUGGAAAAAGGUAAAGGACCUAACCCAAUAUGCCAUAUACCGAUUGCUAGAGGAAGACAAGUGUCAUUCCACAUGACAGAGAAGUAAUUAGUGUGCCACAGAGUCCAAGUAUCAUCAUGUUCAAAGAGGAAUUCUAUAUUCUGUGUUUAUAAAAUGACUGACAGAAAAUGGUUUCUUUUUUUUAAAGGAUAUAUAGAGAAAGAAGAAGAAUGACCAAUUGAGGAUACAUUUAUCCUAGCCAAUGAACAAAACAGAAUCAAGACCAUGAGACCCCUGGGGAAUCAACAUAACAGUUUAUAGGUAUUCUUUAUCUCAAAAAUUAUUAAAGACAUGUUUGAAUUUUAAUUUGUCUUACAAUUUCAAGGAAAACAGGCUUAUAUGAACCAUCUAAAGACACUUAGUUCAUAAAGACACAAAAAGAAUUUGAAUGAGUUCCAAAAAUGACAGUUUAAGAAAACCGUUCACAAAGGCUGCACCAUCACUAGCACCCACAAAAAUAAGUUUAACAUGCCUGCUCCAGUUUGGUUGUGUAAUUUCUUCUGAUCUCAGAAAUAGCUUCCAGAACUUCUGAACCCUUCGGUCGGAUACUAUCAUCACUGAUGAUGGCUGAGGCUUCAUUGUUCAACAUGACCUAUACAAAAUAUGAGAUAAUUGUAUUGUCAAGAAUUUGUCUGAGUCCAUGUUGAUGCAGGAAAGAUGAUAAGGACAAGAUAAGACAAAAGGUGCAGUGAAACAACCAAUAAGACUACAGGAAUGAAACAGAAAACUAAAUAUGGCUUAUCAAAAUUAAGACAUGAGAUCAAAACUGACAAAUGAGCUCGACGGAGGAGCAAACAUGCCUUUUGAAGCUCUGUCCUGAUCUCUUCAACUGCAUGUCUGACUUCUUUACGCACAACUUCAUAUAAUCCAAUACCCUCGUCAUCCCCUAUGGGAUUUUCUCCCUGAAAAUGCAACAAGAACCACAAAGGCUUGCAGUUUAUUCAAACAGAAUAGCAUUACUAUGACAUUACGAUUCUCAGAUUGUUUCAGAUGGUGGACAUGACUAUAAGACACCUUUUCCUGGGCAUAAACCGCCUGGAUUGUCUUCUCAACCCCAUGCUUCCUUGAAUGAAAAUCCCCAGCUUCAACAUCAGUUAAUGAAGAAGAAUGGCUCUGUUAGAAAAAAAAAGAAUAUAUUAAUGUCUGAUCAGUUGUCAAAGACAAUAUACAAAAACAAGGUUGAACUGUACUGUUUGAUGGUCAACAGAGUGCAGAAUGGCAUGAAUACAAGAAUGUCUAUGCUAAAGAUCCAUUUCUUCUUCUAACAACCUGUUUCCCAUUCUUACUUAUGCUCACAUCGACACCGUCUAAAUAUUAGUUCAUGAUCAUGUAAAAUAUAAGAGAAUUUACCGAGUAGCUAUCUUGUGAGUGGAAGAAAUCCUUGUGACUCAUUGUCCUUUUUAAAACAUCAACAUUAUUCACAGGCCUAUGUGAUGAAGGCUGCUGCAAUAUACCAUUGUCCGAAAUCCUUGAUAUGACUUGAGUGCUGGAACUGAGAGAAUCCAUGUCAUUCUGUAGUCAAGAAGAAGAAAACUAAUAGUAAGUCCUCUUUUGACAUUAGAUCUAACUAAACAACUUUAAAUCCUAACUUUUGAAGCUUCAAAUACUUGAUGCAAAAGCGAUAACAUAUAUUAUAUAACUGACGAGUUCAUGCAGGUUCAUACAUUGGAGAAUGAGGGCUGAUGAGGGUUACAUGCAAAAAAUGGUACAAGCUAAAGGAUAUCAUUCUACUUUACCAACCAACGCCCACAUAGAACAAUAGUCAAGGUAUCUUCAAUGGAAUUAGCUGAAUGUUUGACACCAAUAUGAUAGAUGUUUAAACUAAACCAUUCUUUUAAUUCUUUUCUGAAAAGUAAGUAGCAAGUUGCUGCAGAAAUUUGUUCGAUGAUGGUUGGCUCUUAGCAAAUGUUUAACCAGAAAACCAUGUCAAAAAAUGCUGACGAAUAAAAAGAAAAACAUAAGCAGCAAAAUCAGAAAAAGAUUAACAUAAUGCCACAACUGCAAAACCCUUGACUUAAAAAAAUUAUAUAACACAUUAAUAAAGAAGAUACUAUCGAGGUUGUGGCUUUGAGAAGGCUAAGAUGUACAGAAACCACAAGUCACAGCAAUGAUAUAGCAUGUUGUAUAACCUUUAUCUACCCUUAUAAACAUGGAAACACUACCAUCAGAGUAAACUUUGAGUAUGUUUACUGCAUCAGAUGCUAUCAGAAGUACAUCAAGCUUUGAUUGGACAACAAGAAGCACCUGUUGAUCCAGUUGCAUAGGAUUUUGAAUAUUCCACCAGCAAUAUUUGCCAAAUUCUGAUCGCCAACCACCAGCCAGCUUACUGCCUUAAAAAGAGACAUAUUCAAUUUGGACAUGUACAUAUCCAUUUUGCAUAUGAUACUCUUUUCUUUGGAUAAAAACAAAAGACCUGAAUUUUGGCAGCCACUUUGAAGGUCAUAAAUGCUCUUAGCCACUUAUUUCUCCUAGCAGUAGAACCAUAUAAACAAUCUUCUACUUUGUUAACCACCAUGUAAGAGCGAUUCAUUAAAUUAGUAAAGAUAUUAGAAAACAAAAAGGAACCCCAAGGCAUGAUGAUCACGCCAAUUAUGGAGCCUAGAGAGGAUUUAUGUACAUAGCCUUCCAUCUAAUUUGAUUUCAUGACUCAAAUUCUAGUUACCCAAAAAAGACAUUCUUUUCCCUAGUGUUGUUUAACACAAAAUCCAAGUAGCAAAAACUCAUUCCAUCGACUAAGAAACUAAGAAUAGAGAUGUCGAACUGUGAACGAAUAAAAAAUGCAUUCGAGGGCUAAUCCAAUAUGCUAUCGAGUCAAGCAGUCAUGACAAAUCAAUCUCUGAUCAAUAAAGAUUAUUCCAAGCUGAAUACAUAUGUGAUGUUUCCAUACCAAGGAAAAGGACUUUAAAAGGAGAAUCCAGGAUGAUCGAUUUGUCCAGAACUUGGCAUCGAUCCAAUCAUGAUGGAUGUUUACGCACACGAGUCAGUCAACUAUCUGGUGAAGAAGCAUUUCCUCCUUCCAUGGUCAUUCUAUACCGGAGACUCGUCGGACUACUCACAUGAUCAUAUUUUUCCCAGCAAAUUGUUUCUCUUUCCGUGGACUACGUAGUCGUUUAGUAAUCCGAUCACAAGGGCAACAGAGCGAACGAAAGAUCAUACGGUGGUCAUCGGACGCCAAAGAUUGCAAAUUUAGACAAUCUAGAUGAUCGCGGGGAGAGACAGGUACCUCGGAGUCGCUACACCGAUGGCGAGCAACGGAGACAGAUCGCCGCCGCCUUAACACACUAUUCGAGACGCCCUUCGGCGGUCCAGUUCGGCACUGGGGGGGCCUCGUCACGGACCUUCCGCGCCGACCAGACGACUCCGUCUUUAUCGGGUAGCUCGUGACGGAAUUGCGGCACCUGGACCGUGCAUCGGAGGGCUCGCUCUCCUCCUCCUCCGACUCGGCCCUCGCCCGGAAGAACUCAUCGACGACGUCAUCGAGGCUGAUCUCCGGGAAUACGCACCCGCGCGCCUCGUUGACGAACCUGCCGGGGGGCGUCGGAAAAUCUUCCGCAUCCGGCUGAGACGGGGGGAACCGGCCGGAGAAGCGGCUGAGGCUCCUCGACCGUCGGGGUGGCCCGCCGCUGCCGGAAGAACCGGUGUCGCGUGCGGAGCGGGCAACGGCGCGCCCGCCAAUCGAGGAUCGGCCCGUGGCCGAUCGGAAAGCGGCCGUCGUCAUCCCCGGCGUGAACAGUAACGUCUGAAGGAGGCGAAGAGAUUUGGAAACGGGGGGGGGGGAGAGAGACGGCGGCGGAGGGACCAAAGUUUUACGUUUUUUUGAGACAUUUACCUAGAAAAGCCACGUUUUAUGAACUAAUGUCAUCGUAAUGGGGGUAAAUUAUAUUAUAUUUAUAUUAUAUUAUAUUAUAUUAUAUUAUAUUAUAUUAUAUUAUGAUAACAUUAUUCAAAAUAUGUAAUAUUGAAUCGACAAAAUAUUCUCUUUCGGCGUCGUUGGAUCAACAAAAUAACAACAUUCCUCCAUUCUCGUCAUCUACAAAACACAUGAGAGUAGAUAUUAAAAUAGCACAUGGAGCCUUGGUGUUAUUAUGUUUGCCCUCCUCAGUCAGUCCCACCUAAGACGCUGGUGGUAGGCGGAAGGACGGAAGGUUUCUCCUCCACUGUUUGCUUUGCUGAGUAUAGGCGCCUCAUUCGAAGUUCAAACCCGUGGAGUGGAGGGAUUUAUGUGUGACAGUGAACGGACGUCCGGCGGGGAAUUAAAUAUUUAUCGGUGUGUGACGAGCUACCGUCUUCUUCAUAUAGCUGAAAUUGAACAUGAACAUUUUAGAGGGGAUGAGAUGGGAAAGGCUUCGGUUGGAAAGCAAAUUACGCACGAGCACAGAGCAUAACGUAUGUAUGCUGGUACACUGGCAUUCACACUGGCUAAUAAAAAUAUUUUAUUUGACUAUUACUAAUAAUAAUAAUAAUAAUACAAUUGUACCUUGUGGAUUACAUCGUGGAAUUCCAUAAGUUACAGUUAAUGCUUCGACAUUAAUUGUUAAUGUCCAUGUCGACGGCUCAUGCUUUCAUGUGAGAAGUUGGUGGUGUAUGAAUUAUAGGAGAGAAUCCGACGGGAAUUCACUCACAAUUCGAAGACGACGGCCAGUUCGAACCGUGGGGAUGGGGUGCAAGCAGCGAGCUCGUGAGAGCAGCGGACGGUAUAUGCUCGUGGGGAGUCAUCGGAGAAGAGGUCAAAGCAGCAAUAGAGUGGAGGAGAAGUCUCACUUACACGGGGCAGGCAGGGUAUUCCAUGAAUCGGUCAUAUAUACUUCAGAAGUCACACACGUAUGAAUACAUGAUAUAAGCAACAACAUGGAUCGGUAAUACGUAUGCUCCGGAAGUCACAUGUAUGAAUACAUGAUAUAAGCAGUAACAAAAGGUGGAGGAGAAGUUACAUGUACACAAGGCAAGCAGAGUAAUUCAUGGAUCGAUCAUACAUACACUUCAGAAGUCAUACACAUAUGAAUGCAUGGUAUAAGCUACAAGAGGUGAAGGAAAAAUCACACGUACACGAGGCAAAUUGAGUAAUCCAUGGAUUGGUCAAGCGUACGCUCCGGAAGUCACACGUAUGAAUACAUGAGAGAAAUCACAUGUACAUGAGAUAGGCAGGGUAAUCCAUGGAUCGGUCAUACGUAUGCUCCGGAAGUCACACGUAUGAAUACAUGGUAUAAGCAAUAAUAAUAGGUGGAGGAGAAGUUACACGUACACGAGGCAGGCAGGGUAAUUCAUGGAUCGAUCAUACAUAUGCUUUGGAAGUCACACACGUAUGAAUACAUGGUAUAAGCAACAACAAGUGGAGGAGAAAUCGCGUGGUAUAAGCAGCAACAGGUGGAGGAGAAAUCACACGUACACGAGGCAAACAGAGUAAUCCAUGGAUCGAUCAUACGUACGCUCCAGAAGUCACACGUAUGAAUACAUGGGAGAAAUCACACGUACACGAGGUAGGCAAGGUAAUCCAUGGAUUGGUCAUACAUAUACUUCUAAAGUCAUACGUAUGAAUACAUGGUAUAAACAGCAAUAGAAGAUGAAGAAAAAGUUACACGUAUACGAGACAGGUAGGAUAAUCUAUAGAUCGAUUAUACAUAUACACCGAAAGUCAUACACAUAUGAAUACUGAUAUAAACAGUAACAAGUGGAGGAGAAGCCACACGUAUAGAAGAUAGACAGGAUAAUCGAUGGAUCGGUCAUACGUACACUCCGAAAGUCAGACGUAUGAAUACACGAUAUCAUUAGCAUGCCGAGUAUUUUGGACGUAGUUUUCCUGGGCGGUGGCGGGGGCCCCGCACGGAAUCAAACCAAAACAAGAAUGGGCCCUUUCUCGUGAGCCGCGCCAACAGCCAGCGGCCUAAGCUCCCACGUGAUCCUAUCGCCCCACCCAUACGCCUACGGCUUUCCCGCCGGCCACGUGGCAUAUCGCCUUCCCCGUCCCCCGGUAGGAUCCCACGCCGCUGCCUUAACGGACGGACGCUUCGGUGGACACGCGUACGGUUUGCUCCAUUUGUUGGGAUUGGACGUUAACCAAGUCAUCAUAUUAAUCGAAUUGAUUAAUACUCAACCAGUGCACGAGCUUUCGAUCGAGAAGCGUCGCCUCACAACUUGUGCUUCUAUUUACUCCACUCGCUCGCUCUUUAUAGCGCAGACGAGAAAAGCUCCGUCGCUCGUUUACGAAACCCGGCGGUGCGAUGGCGGCGAUGGGAAUCGCAAAAUUACCGCCGCUCAACAAUUCCGUUCAUCCUGCCCAUCGGAAAUCUCCGACGCCCUUCCUUGCAUCUUCCGAUCCCCGCCUUUCCUCUUCCUUCCACGUCUCCGGUGGAAACGAUAAUAUCCUCCUCCUCCGUAAGGCGGCGAUUGCGUCAGGGCGGAGGACGGCGUCCGGUGCGAGGACCCCGGUCCUGGUCUCCCCCAAAGCCGUUUCCGACUCGCGGAGCUCGCAGACUUGCCUCGAUCCUGAUGCAAGCCGGGUGAGUUUGCGUGGGACGCACAUUUGCCUCACAUGCCCACAAGGUUUCUUUAGAAAGAUUUUGUCAUCGGAAGCGAUCUUGGAAUGGUUCUCGGUGAAUUGCUUGAUGUGGUUGAUUGCUUGAUGUGGUUGAUUGCUUGUUUCUGUGGCAAAAUUAAGCUACCAAAAAAAUUUUUUUUUUUUCUUCUCUUCUCUUUGUCCGCCGCUAGGUUCGUAGAAGAGUUGUCGGGUCUACAUACUUGGGUUACAUCAAGGUCGAUGAUUGUUCUCGAAUGUUGUUAUCAACCAUUUCGUAGAUCCACAUUAUAUCCUUUCUUGUCUUUUAAGACGACCCUUUUUUAGCUUUUUUUUUUCUCUUUCUUCCCAAAUAUUGACUGGAUCGAGCUUUUAGAUUUUUAAUCGAGUUAGAAAAUAAAAAGGAGAAACGAUCGGUGAUUUGGUGAAGAUUUGUUCAUCAUUUAGAAACGAAAAGGACGCAAUUACCUGAAGUACAUGUUCAUAAGAAAUUUAUCAGGUUUCUGCCUAGGAAAGCAAAUCGGCCAAGGCACGAAUCGAUUCCAUCGGUUAAAAGUUCUACAACUUAUGGAAACCCAAUUUAUGAUUCUCUCAGAUCUUAUGUACCUUCUUCAAGAUAUGCAGGAGAUAUUGACUACUAGCAUAAGACGAUUGGAGGGUUGCCUAUUUUCUACAAGUUGCUAAUCGAACACAUUGCAAAUAGGAUCGAUCAUAUAUUUCACAAGCCAAAAGCGAAUUCUAUGUUUCAGAAGAAACUUACCUGCGAUAGUGUAUUUGACUAUUAUUUAUGUUGGUUUUCUUGAAAUAUUUGGAAGUACAUGCAGAUUAUUCUCAUCUUUAAAAAUGUAGCUUCAAACUUAGCCUGGAGCACAGGUGGUUGAUGGUUUUAUUUAUAUGAUUCAACAUGAUCACCUCAUGCACAUCUUUGUGGAUGGUUAUUUUCUAGAAUUUGUUUGUUUUUUUGUGUGUUUUCUUAAUUGUCAUGUGAAUAUUUAAGAUAAUUAAGUUUUGAAAUGGUGAAUUUUUGUUUUCUCUCCGCAGAGUGUUUUGGGUAUUAUACUUGGGGGAGGAGCCGGGACGAGGUUGUAUCCUUUAACAAAGAAGAGGGCUAAACCUGCAGUACCACUUGGAGCCAACUACAGGCUAAUCGACAUUCCUGUCAGCAAUUGCUUGAACAGUAAUAUUUUAAAGAUCUACGUUCUGACACAAUUCAAUUCUGCGUCUCUGAACCGCCAUCUUUCACGGGCCUAUGCGAGUAACAUGGGUGGGUACCAGAAUGAAGGCUUUGUUGAAGUUCUUGCUGCACAACAGAGUCCAGAGAACCCAAACUGGUUUCAGGUGCUAUGACAUCUUGGUCUUUUCAUCUCAGUUUGAAUUUACUUGAAAUAAAGGCUUGGUUCUCUAUUCGCCAUCUAAUUGUUCCUCCUUGCUCUUAAAUAAGGUUUGAUAUAUCAGAUCCUGUGAGGAGUCUCGUUUUUUGAACUUUUUUAUCCUUUUAGUAGUUCCAACUAGACAAAGACUCCUGCCUUAAAUGUCAGGAGUUCAAACUAAGAGUUUUAUUCGCUGGCUAAAUGCAUGCUGUUUACCAUGUGUUCCUAGGGUACUGCUGAUGCUGUAAGGCAAUACCUGUGGCUCUUUGAGGAGCACAAUGUCAUGGAGUAUCUAAUUCUUGCCGGAGACCAUUUGUAUCGCAUGGACUACGAGAAGUUCAUUCAAGCGCACAGAGAAACAAACGCUGAUAUUACUGUGGCUGCGCUUCCAAUGGAUGAAAAACGUGCAACUGCUUUUGGUCUGAUGAAAAUUGAUGAAGAAGGACGGAUAAUUGAAUUUGCAGAAAAGCCAAAAGGAGAUCAGCUGAAGGCGAUGAAGGUAGAGACUCUUUCAGUAGUGUUUUCUUGGAUUUGUGAGACCAUUCAUCGUUGUGCAGUUCACAAAGUUUAUUACUUGUCCUUAUAAAAUUAUUGAUCGGUGAGCGGCAGGUCUUUAGUCCUAAUAAGUCUGUUUUGCUUUUUAUUUUUACAGGUUGAUACCACAAUUUUAGGCCUGGACAAUGAAAGAGCAAAAGAGAUGCCUUUCAUUGCUAGUAUGGGUAUCUAUGUGAUCAGCAAGGAUAUAAUGUUGCAGUUGCUUCGUGAUAAAUUUGCUGGAGCAAAUGACUUUGGGAGUGAAGUUAUCCCUGGUGCAACUAAUGUUGGGAUGAGGGUAUGUCUGAUAUAUUGAUCUACAGAUGAUACAUUUAUUUAAUUUUCCUAAUGUUUAUUUCUUUGAGAUGCUUGGAAGUGAGUAACCCCACAUAACAGCAAAAAGGCAUUGCAAAAUCACCCUUACCAAGAUGAGGACUUGCCAAAAACUUAUACAACUUCCAUGGCACAUUAUAUGCUCUAUAUCUGUUCAUUCGAUACAUUUUUCAUGAAAUAAAUCCAAUUGACUCAUUAACUUAAUAGGACCAAAUCUGAAACCAGAAAACCCAAAAUGGAUUGAGUCCAAACUAAUGAUAGUAAGUCCAUAUGGCCAUUUAUGACAUCAUAAUAGUUUUCUCCCUGAAAACCCAAAAUAGUGGUUAGUGGAUCCAUCUAGUCUUAUAAAUCGCCAAAAUCAUUUUACUUCCAGUGUGAAACCACUUGGGGUGUCACAGUACUAGGCUGAGUUGGGUCAUCUGUGUGUGUUAGGACCACCAUUAUUUUAGUAUUCCUAUAUCAUUCUCUAAAAAAUUAUUGAAACCUGCAAACUAUUAAAGAUUACAUGCUUUUAAAAGUACAAGUUAUUCCACAUGGUUUAUGUAUGACUCGAAUAACCUUGCUUUAGCUGGAAGGCAUGUUUUUCAUACCAUGCUGUCGUUUGACUUGUGCCUUUGCUGCCAUGUCAGAGCCAGUCAAUGCUCCAACUAUUUCAUGUGUAUGAUGCUGUCUUGUCCUUGUGGCCAGUUGGCAACACUCACAAGGUGCACUCUAGCCAACAUGGGAUCAUAUGGCAUGGGCAAUCAAUUUUGCAACCAAAAUAGCUCCUCUACAUUUAAAUUUCUCAAACAUACAGUACUCAGAUGCUAGAUCUUUAUGAUUCUCAGUUAUUUUCAGAAUAUCAGUGACCAAUCUUAAUUGUUUUAUUUUGAACAACAGGUACAAGCUUAUUUAUAUGAUGGUUACUGGGAGGACAUUGGUACAAUUGAGGCAUUUUACAAUGCAAAUCUUGGAAUUACUAAAAAGCCAGUACCAGAUUUCAGGUAGAUUACUCAGAAGACAAAUAAGAUAAUGUGCUUUUCCAUGUUCACAGGCAUGUCAUGCUUUAGUAACUGAUUGAAUCUUAACUUGAUUUCAGCUUUUAUGAUCGUACAUCUCCAAUUUAUACACAACCCCGAUAUUUACCUCCUUCCAAGAUGCUGGAUGCUGAUGUAACUGAUAGCGUGAUUGGCGAGGGAUGUGUGAUCAAGGUGAGUUCACUGCAUAUCAAUCUUUUUCUUCUUUUUUUUUUGUCUGAGAUUUGUUUUACAACUAGUCGUUAAUAUAAGUGAAAUAUGCCCUAUAAUUUAAUUACCAUAUGUGAAUUAAACAAUAUGUAACAUAACUUUGUAACAUAGUUUCUGGGAGCUUAGUUUUAUGUUGUCUCGUAUCAAUGACUAGGUAAUAUCAGAAAUUUAUCUGCUACAAGAUCUCAAUCUAUCUGGUUCUUGUGAAUUCAUUACUGUCUGCUGCUUUAUAACAAUUUGUAAGUGACGUUUGUUAUUCAUACAGAAACAAUGUAAUGCAUGCCUAUUUACAUGUUCGACAUGAAUGUAAUGUCUAAAUGCGAGUAUUAAGUGUUUCUUUCUUUUUUCUUUUUUUAUUUCCUGGGUGGACUUGGGACCCAUAGAAGCACAGUUAUCUCGCAUUCUUUUUUGUAGAAGCAAAAAAUGCUUGGAAACCUAAUUGCAGGCGAACUGGCUAUGUGGUGUUGGUAAAGUAAUAAAGAGAUUACAAUUUAUACCGUAAGAUGUGCAACAGUAUAGCAUACUGAUGAUUGCUGUGUAUUACGUAUCUUUUCUUCCAUGUGCCUUGCGUGAUUUUCUUUGUGCGACACUGAAUGCUUAAAUUCCAGCACAUGGUUGACAUUUAUAUGAUGAUCUUGUGUGUGUGUACGUGUGUGCGUGCAUGCUCAUGCACAAGCACACUUGUAUUUCUCAUAUGUGCUUUUUUACUCCAUAGCUCUGCCUCCAUACAUGUCUACUAAAAAGUUAGGUCCUGGGAUUAUCCUGUUUCAUUUCAUUUUGGAAGUGCCAGAUGGCUAAACUCUCAAAAUUUUAAAAAGACUACUUUCAUGUCCCUGCAGAACUGCAAGAUCCACCAUUCUGUAAUUGGUCUUCGUUCUUGUAUAUCAGAAGGUGCAGUCCUCGAAGACACUCUACUGAUGGGAGCAGAUUAUUAUGAGGUAAUGCCAUAGAAAGAAAAAAAAAAAAAACCCACCCGAACUAGUUAAUCCAGAAGUAGUAUAUGAUACUUGUUCGUUUGAAUAGAUAAUUUAGUCUUUGACUCUGUGCCGCAAACCAUGCUUGUAGACUGAUGCUGAUAGGAGGCUGUUAGCUGCAAAAGGCAGUGUUCCCAUGGGCAUCGGAAGAAAUUCUCACGUCAAAAGAGCCAUCAUCGACAAGAAUGCUCGCAUUGGAGAGAAUGUCAAGGUAAUAGUAACCCAGAUUAUGCAAUGAAACUGAGAUCUUUCCUGUUGCUACAUUAAUGUUUCUUAAUUAUCAAUUUUCUAGGUGUCAGAAAAAUAGACAAAUCAUAAAAUAGCAAAUAUGUCCAGAAAGUACUCUAACCCAAGUGGGUAGCAAUUUUUUUUUUUUUCUUUGGCCUCUAAAUAAUGGUUCACUGGUUUCCCAGAUCAUCAACUGUGAUAACGUGCAAGAGGCGGCAAGAGAGACGGACGGAUACUUCAUCAAGAGUGGCAUCGUCACCGUCAUCAAAGAUGCACUGAUCCCUAGUGGAACUGUCAUCUAGUUCUCAACGUAAAACUGCUACGCCUGUGGUCUGCUGUCUCGGGCUUUGUUCAUGUUCCGUUGCUACGUAUAUUUCUCGUUCACGGAAAACCUUUUCUGUGGCAUUUGUCGGACAAGACGUUUCUUUUCGAUAUAUUACUUUGAUGAUGUUUGUGGGAGCACAUUAAUAGCAAAUCGUACGAGUUUGAGUUCAGAUUUAGCUCGAAUUGAAUCGAACGUUUUAAGAUGAAUACUGUAAGCGGUGGAUUGGGAUACAGGUGGAAGGACAGUAGUGACGCGAAGCCAUGUAAGAGUGGCGCGCGCUAAUGGCCGACGCCAGGCGACGGGUUUUUGGCAGGAGAGGGAGGCCCGGGAUAUCCACCGUGCCGGAGCAAUCUGGCUCCACCACGUCCUCGGAGUAGCGUCAUCUCAUGCCCUUCGAGCGAUUGCGCAUGAGCAUCAUCACCUGCACGCAAGAAUAUGAACGAUAAUCUUUGAAAGAGGUUGUCGCCAGCCAAGGAAAGCAGUACAGAUGCAGCUCCUUUGCCGAUCUAAAUAGAUCCUAAUGAUCGAUCGUUAUUUGUUUACAACGAUAGAAACAGUUACGAUGGUAAAAGAUCAACAACAAUCUUACGGGAAUAGGAAGAGAGUUCGUAUAUACCAUGGGCUGCACCAGUGAGGAGGUGGGCGACUCUUGAAUCAGCUCCAGGGGAAAAGGAGACGAGUAGUACAAGCAACACAGCCAUGCAAAGGCGUCUCUUCUGAUCCAUUAUCUACUACACUUGAUGCACUCUGUUUCUUUCUCGUUGCGGGUUCAAUGUUGAGUCCGGAGGACUCUCUCUCUCUCUCUCUCUCUCUCUAUGCGGAACAGGUGAAAGAGAAUUACAUCUUUGUGCUGGAAGAUUUGUUUUGGUCAAGUACGUUGUUGAGGUCAAUUGAUUUGAACAUAGACUGGCGACUCUGUCUCCCUUGGAUGAGAGACACAAUAAUAGGUUGUGUAUUUUCAGGCCUUUGCAAUAGCUUGUUUAUCAAGUCUAGUAGAAAACGAAGCUUGACAGCUUCGUUGAGAGACCGGCGUUGGCUCUACGAGCUGGGAGAGCAGACCGACAGAGGUGAGUUGGGACGACCUUGUUGGGCUGGCAGUCCACAAAUUCAGUCCAUAGUGGGCUUGGGCAGUCCACAGCCCACACCCCCUCUUAACAUAACCCUAAUUAACAUUAGGGGGUGUGAUGACAAUUCCUAAUGCACCUCAACAUAAAGCUAUUGUAAAUAGGAUGAACUGCACCAUCGUUAAAAAAAUCAGAUGUAUGCUUUCAUAGGCUAAGUUACCAAAAAAGUUUUAGGAUAAGACUUUGAGGAUUACAAUUGAUGUGAUCAACUUGUCACCAUAUAGAGCCCUAGAUAAUGAUGUUGCAAAGCAUAUAUAUGGUCAGGGAAAAAUAUUUCCUACAGAUAUUUGAGAGUGUUUGGUUAUCAUGCAUUUGCACAUAUUCUAGACAAUGAGAGGUCCAAGCUGGAUGGUAAGACAAAAGAAUGUAUUUUUAUUAGCUACUUACAUAAUCAGUUUGGUUACAGGCUUUGGAAUCCAAAGAAGCAAAAGGUAUUUAGAAGCAGAGAUAUGAUUUUUUUUUAGGAUUAAACAUUUAAAGAUUUGAAUAAGAAAGUAUCAGCCAAGACUUCUAUAGAAGGAUUAGCAGAUUGUGACCUAGUUACUUCUCCAGUAUAUCAGGGUGAUUGGGAGAUGUGUAGGAAGAUUGUGUAGAGCCCGAUGUUAAUCUACUUGUAGGAUAUGUUGAGCAAAAAGAAGUUGGAGAGCAACUUCCUAUAAAAUCUCAAUUGAGAAGAUCUUCUAUACAACAUCAACAUUCUAAAAGAUACUCUACAAAUGAGUAUGUGAUGUUUAUUGAUGCAGGUGAAAUAGAGAGUUACUAGGAAGUAAUUGAAAGUGAGUAAAAAAAAAAUUAUUAAUUGCUAUACAGAAAGAGAUGGAUGCUCUACAGAAGAACCAUACAUAUGAUUUAGUGCAACUACUAAAGAGAAUUAAGACCUUAAAGAAUAAGUGAGUUUUUAGGUUGAAAACUCAAGAAUAUUGUUCUCAACCAAAGUACAAAACUAUAUUGAUUAUGAAAGACUUUGGUCAAAAGAAAGGUAUUAACUUUGAAGAGAUUUUUUCUCCUUUUGUUAAAAUGUCUUCUAUUCGUGUUGCUCUCGGUACUACUGCUAGCUAGGACUUAGAGGUUAAGCAGUUAGAUGUGAAUACAGCUUUUCUUCAUGGUGAUUUCGUGGAGGAAAUUUUUAUAAAGCAACCAGAAGACUUCAAAGUCAAAGGUAAAGAGAACUUUGUUUGUAAGUUGAAGAAGAGCUGGCCUAAAGUAAACUCCAAGUCAAUGGUACUAAAAGUUUGAUUCAUUUAUGACAGAAAAUGAAUACAAAAGAAUGACUUUAGAUCAUUAUGUGUACAUCAAAUGGUUUGGUGAGAAUUUUAUUGUUCUCUUACUUUAUGUUGAUGACAUGCUCAUCGUUGGAAAAGAUAUGUCUAUAAUUGCUAGAUUGAAGAAAUAACUGAGUGAGUCUUUUGCAAUGAAGGACAUGAAGCCAACAAAGCAAAUACUAGACAUGCAGAUUUCCCAUGACAGAAAAACCAAGUAGAUUUGGUUGUCACAGGAUAAAUACAUCGAGAAGAUAUUGGAAAGGUUUAGUAUGAGCAAUGCAAAGCCAAUUAGUUCUCAUCUAGUAUGUCUCUUCAAGUUGUGCUCAGAACAGAGUCCGUCGAUUGAUGGAGAGAAUGAGAAAAUGCAAAAGGUUCCUUAUACUUUAGUAUUUAAAAGUUUAAUGUAUUUAAUAGUAUGUACGAGACCAAACAUCGCGCAGUGGGUGUUACUAGUAGAUUUCUUACAAAUCUAAGUAAAGAGUACUAGACAACAGUGAAGUGGAUCUUUAGAUACCUCAGAGGGAGCUCUAAGGUUUGUUUAAACUUUGGAGUUAUACUACCUUUAUUAACAGGUUACACAGAUACAAAUAUGACAUGAGAUAUAGAUAUAAGAAAAUCUAAAUCAAGUUUUACACUUAUUUUUGCAUGGGGAGCUAUAUUAUAUGGUGAAUUAUGACAGCUAGAGUGCCAUACAUUUGUAUAAGAACCCAACUUUUCAUUUAAAGUCAAAGCAUAUAGAUGUCAGAUACCACUGGAUUCGAAAUGUCCUUGAAGAAAAGCAGUUGCAGCUUCAGAAAAUUCAAAUAGAUGACGAUGGAGCAGACAUGUUGACAAAGACCUUACCAAAUGAAGGGUGGGAGAUAUGUCGACAACUGGUCGACAUGGCUUCACAUUGAGGUGUCAUCGGACAGCCUCCUUUAUGGGCUAAAGGGGGAGGUUGUUGGGUUGACAGCCCACAAGUUCAGCCCAUAGCCCACCUCUCAUUUAAUCUAAUCUUAGAUCUAAUAAGGGGGGUGAGGUGACUACGAAAAAAGGGAGAAAAGCUAUAGUAACGAGACAGAAAACUAUAACAGCAACUUGAUUUAAAAAAAAGAAAAAAAAGAAAGAAAAAUAAGAGAAGGUAAGAGAAGAAGAGAAGGAUAAUGUAGAGAGAUUGUUCUCAAUUAUCCAAGCAGUGUUCUCAUCUCAGAUUAGAUCAGAUUUAUAGUAGAUUCUAGUUGUGAUUAUUUGUGAAGAAUUUGGAUAUUGUGUAUAGUGACGUAAUCCAUGUAUUCCGGUUAUUCUUUUGAAAUUGUUGUUUGGGUUUUGGGUAAAAGAUUAUGAGAUUUGUAUAUUUAUUAUUUUUAUAGUGGAUUAUCUCUAGUUUGUUCCAUCGUUUUUCUCCUCACUUUAGAGGGAUUUUUCACGUAAACCUUUAUAUUAUAUUUGAUUAUAAUUUUUAUUUAAUUUCGUUGUGUGUUAUGAUAUGUUUAUAUUUAUUCUUAUAUAAAUUUUCUUCUACUUUUUAUUAAUUACAUGAACGAGUACCCAAAAACUUCAAAGUCCACGAAAAGUACCAUUUUUAUACCGAAUCAAUGUGACUUUCGAGGGUUGGACGAGUCUCUACCACACACACGGACACCUAAUGGGUGCCCACUCCGAGGAGUUCAGCGACAGACAAUGACAAGUUCGCAUCAUGUGAUGCAGAAGACGCACAGCUCGUUUUCCAUUUCAAACUCCUUCUCAUCGAUCAACAACGCUACACAAGUUGACUCCACCAAAUACCUUUGUCGCCAUUACGGACAGUACAUCUAGAAGUGUUUUAGUGAAAAGUUAUGGAAUGAAACUUUUCUGUAUAGAGCAACCUCUGAAAUCAUUUCGAAACUCUUGGAUUACUCGACUUGUAAGUUUCUGUAUGGUUCAUCAAAGUAUUAAACUGUUUGUGUUCAUUCAAACACACGACAUAUCCAAGUCUUCAAUUUUAUUCGUGAAUGCUCACAACCGAAAGUGAAUUAUUCUUGUUCAGCAUAAACUACGUUUGCAGUGCAUGGUACAGGUUAUAGAUUCCAGAGCAAAAGCCAACGGGAUGUAUCAGCUGUGGAUAAGGUCGUCUCUAUCAGAUCGAGAGUCAAACUCAUGUAAUCAAAUGAAUCUUUGGGGGAGGGGGGAUUUACUUGAGAAGAAAAAACUGGCAUAUGCUUCCUCAGAAAAGGGACGGAAACUAAAUUCUUUUGCUCAGCGCAACCACAAAGCAGCAAGCAAACAUAUCAACGAAUUCACAAUGGAUAGGGAUACAGCAGCAAUACAACCUCACCUGAAACCAGCCAUGCAUGCUGUGUCUGCAUGGCUCCCCAGAUGCCAACUAGGAAGUAUGCCAACUGCAUCGACAAAGCUUCUUAGAUGGCAUUCAGGGAGCCAGGCAGAACAUGCAUCAGAGCGAGCAGGAGACGAUGGUCGUGACCUACAAGAACCCCAAGACCACAUGCAUCAGUAAUCAGCUUUCGUAUCAACCAAAAGCCUUAAAAGCUGCAAUAGAAAGGAACUCACGCGUACGCUUUCUUCUCUCGUCAGCUGCGGAAGCCAUAAAUGUCUCCUUUCUCUCUCUCUCAACUCAUCUCCCAUGUCACAUGCAUUGCAUGUCUAGUGCACUUGGUAAAUGACUCAACUCCACAGCUAGCAGAGACGGGGAGGCAGCAUAUACACGAAGCAGAGCAUGAAGGACAAAGGAAAGGCCAAAAGAACCAUGUGGAGGUUGGGGGAGGGCCAUUCCUUCCUUCUCUUAAAAUGGGCGCCGGUCGUGACUUCUUCUGCAGUAUGAGUCCACAGGAAGAGCCAAGGGCAGCCUGGGUCUUGCACCACGGCACCUUUGGCUUCGUCUUCUUCAUCUCUCCUCGUAAAUGGUGAACGAUGUCAUGAUACAUACCACAUACAAUAUGUUAUGCGAUACUGCAAGCUCGAUCAAGCCCCAGUCGGCACUAAAAGCAAGUAACCAGGUGAUCAGUCUUCUUUUUCUCCUUUGGUCCUACCUAAACAUCCCAACUUCUUACGGUGUAUCAAUGUGCGUGCAUCAUCCAUCGUUUCUGCAUCUGUCGAUGAGCAUGACUUUGUUUAGAACAAUAUAGUCGUCGAACUUAGCUAAUCUAUGAUAUCCAAUGUCUGUUGCACCUUCAUUCCGUCUGCUUGGGUCACAUGAACAACUCUGCACAAGGUCGGAGAAGAGCCCGCACCGUUCACACCGCAAGUCAAACCUUUGACCGCAAGUCAAACUGGCCGACGUUUCCCUUGACCGGUAGCUAGCGGCAAGAUAAUGGGAUUUGACCGUGAACAGGCCACGGUGGCCACACCAUCCGCGGGGCCCGCCUCCUGAUCGUUUAAUUUAUAUACGACGAUGCGAUGAUGUGUCGAAGUGUCGAGCAACAAUUCCCGCGGCAAAAAAUAAUAUAUCUUGUUUCGAUAAAUAAAAAUAUUAUUUAAAAAAGGUGUUCAUAAACCUUUUAUUAUCUUUGAUUAAUAUCACCGAGGCCUUCUAACCCGAUAAGCAUACUUCCUUCGUGUCGCCUUGUUUACGAGGCUUGAUGAUUGGAUAACUGACAUGGGGCCCAUCAAAAUCGAACCAGUUCGAGCGGCGAUGCCACAGAACACCCUAACCCCCUGAAUUCUUACCCAAAACCCUAAUCGCGUCGCCGUCCAUCCGAAGCGCCCUACCAUCUCCCAUCGGAUCAGCUCCCGCUGAGGAUGAGGAAUGCGUGGAGGAAUCUCUCGCUGCGAAGCCUCCCUUGGAUCGCUUCCCGCGGCCCCAGCGUUAGCCCUCCCAACCUCCUGGUGAAGGUUCCGGAACCCAAAAACCCUUCCUUUCUCCUCCCGUUUGUCGGCAGGAUUCGCUCUCCGUCGUACCUUGGAAUCCGCUGGUUCUCGCCGGAUCCGGCCGGUUCGGAUGAGAUCAAAGCAGAGUUGGAGUCCCUCGACCUCUCGUUCGACCGGGAGACCAUGGAUUUGGUGCUUCGGGAUCUCAAGUGCGUGCAUUCCGCUUCGGAGGAUGGACGCGUCAAGCUGAAUUCAGAAUCCUACAAUCGAAUGCUUCAAACCCUUGGAAACAAUGGGCGGUCAGAGGAAUUCUGGCGUGUUGUUGGGACCAUGAGAAAGAAAGGCUUUGGGAUCUCUAAAGCCACCUACUUGUCCGUCUCAAAGAGUUUUCGCGAGGAGAAAAUGGAGAAAGAUGUCAAUUUGUUGAAUGAAGCCUACUCUCUGAGCACUGGUAGAAACGAGGCUGAAACGGCGUGUCAGGAAAUUUGCAAGAUCUUGAGGGAAGAGGAACCAGGUGAAAUCCUUCAAAAGAAGCUGGAUGAUAUCGAUGACAGCUUGUUAUCCGAGUUGGUCGGUGUGGUCUUGGAGUUGACUACCGAGCACCCUGAGAAAGCUUUGCUGUUGAUGGAGCAGGUAGAAAAGAGGUCGUCCUUGAAGAUUGAUGGCGGUGUUUAUAAUGCUAUGGCCAGGAUUUUGGGUCGAAAAGAUUGCAUCAAUGAGUUUCAGGAUCUCCUUCGGAAGAUGAGAGAUCAGGGUCAUGAAUUGGAGUUGAAAACAUAUAUCAAAGUGUCACACUGGUUUCACCAGCGAAAGAUGAUUGCAGAAGUGGCAGAUUUGUAUGAGUUUGCGAUGAGUGGUACAGUGAAGCCUCCACCUCAGGAUUUCUUGUUCCUCUUGAAGAAGAUAGUUUUGAGUAAAGAUCUAGAUUUGGAUUUGAUUACCCGGGUUGUCCGCAUUUUUGUGGAAGAUGGAAAUUCCAUCAAGAGAUCAGUUUUUGGUGGAGUUCUUAAAUCCUUGAGGAGCGUUGGUAGAUUGGGGGAGUGUGAUAAGGUCUUAGCGGCCAUGGAACAGGGAGGAUUUGCGGCUGAUAGUUCUGUACAUGAUCGGGUAGUCAUCGGACUUUGUGAUGCUGGGAGGUCGGAUGGAGCCUUCAAAUACUUGGACAAUAUUGAAAAUGAAGGCUAUAGUUUGGAUGUGAAGACAUGGACAUAUUUGGUCAAAAAACAUUCGGUGGCUGGCGAACUAGAACAAGCAUUGUCUUGCUUCAAGGUGAUGACAGAAAGAAGGGGUGGUGAAAAUGUUGGUUGUGCCUUUGAGGAGCUGAUGAAAGGAUAUUGCCAGAAGGACAAAAUAAAAGAUGCACACAAGGUUCUAAAUGAGAUGGUAACUAAAAGAAAUGUACAGCCUUGGCACAGCACCUACAAGUUUCUAAUUGAAAUGUUCAUAAAUCAAGGGUACCUUAAGGAAUCUUUUAGUCUUCUGGAACCGAUGAAAAGUCAUGGUUUUCCUCCGUAUAUUGACCCGUAUAUAAGUUAUCUGUCAAAGUUAGGGACCGUGGAUGAUGCAAUGGGUUUUCUGAAGGCUAUGACGGUGAAGGAGUUUCCUUCUAGAACGGUGUUCAUGCGCGUUUUUGAAACACUACUCAAAGCAGGCAGGCAUGACGUGGCGCAUGGUAUACUUUCUAAAUCUCCAGGAUCCGUCCGUAAUCAUGCUGAUGUCUUGGAUCUGUUCUACUCAAUGAAACCAGACGAUGCUUCUGCAGUCAUUGCUUAGACCAUCCAUGGAAUUCAAAAAUUGUUGUGCUUCCUACAACAGCUAUCCAUCUUUUGAUUUAUGCAGUAAAACUUACUUGAGGAUGAUAAAUUGGCCACGAAUAAUGCCAAUAUUUAUAACCAGUUCCUCUGAAGACUUCAAUUUCAUAGACUCGGUAUCAAUUUGAGAAUUAUUGGCUAACCGAAGAAUCACCUUCCUGAACUGACACUCAACCUAUUAUUUUGCAGAAGGGAUGAUUGCCGACGCUGAUAUUCAGGCUGCUAUCCUCCCAAGUUAUGAACUGUUUGUUUUAAUUAGCUGAUUUUUGAAGUUUGAGCACCCUCUUCUUUCACAUAUUGGUUAGGUUAUAAUGGUAAAUUGACAUCUUAUCAUAUUUAAACUGCAUUUGAUGGGCCUAUGUGCCAUGCGUAUUUAGUCGAUUUUUUAUUUUUAUUUUUGUAUAUGCAUGUGCACUUGUAGGUAGGAUCCAAUAUUCACACUCAAACUGCAUUUUUAUUACAAUGACCGAAAAAUGGCGUAAACACCAGAGCAUCGCCUCGGUCCAUAAACUAGGUAGGAUCCAAUAUUCAAUCCUGUUCUUAGUUCUGAUUUUAUGUCUGGGUUCAUUGAUCUCUGGUGAUGCCCGAAGCCUCACAUAAUGGCAUCUUAGUUGAAUUUGCCCGGUGUCUCCUGCAAUGAACUGACCAUUUGGUGUCUCCCUUACCUUCCUUUUCUGCAGGGUCUUCUCUGUGUCAUCUACGCAUGCAGCUUCAUCACCUUUUCAUUAGUUCCUCCGUAGCACAACUAUGAGGGGGCAUGCUCGAUUUUGUCGAUCUAGAAUUUUAUGAAUUUGUUGAGGUUUACUACAUAUUAGGUCUGAAUUCAUUUGAAGCUUGCAAAAUCUCGACAGCUUGUCUUGUAGGUGCUUCGCAUGGAUUGUGACUAAGAAAUUGAUGGUGCCUCAAUCCUCAUAAGGAAUGCAGCCGCAGUCACUGUUGAAGGUAAAUGCUUAUAGAAUUCUUUGUCUCGAGACAUUAGAAUGCUAGCUUGGAUUCAUUGAAUGGUGAACCCCCGCCCCCGCGCCCCCUCUCUCUCUUCUGCAAUGGAAAUGAAGAAAUGGAUUUCGAAUGGCUACCUCAUAGUUGAAACCUUGUUCAUGUAAUCAUCAUGUAACUCCUUGGUUCAAAUAAGCUCGUGGAGAAACUCCAUGAGGUGAGCUGAGUGGUAAAACAUCUUUUCGAUGCUUUUAAGUAAUUAUGAAAGUGGCUAUGCAACACAAAAGAUCAAGAUUCGUCCUUUGUUUCGUUAAGGUUUUCAAGUUUCCGUAAGUUGCCCUAAAUCGAGUAUUAGUUUUAACCAGUCCAGAGACUUGAAACAAUGUAGAAUAUUAGUGAUAUAUAGAUUAGCCCAAGGUAGUCUAGGCUCGAGUGUGACUUGUAUGAAGAUCGAGGUUGAUUGAGAUUCUAGAUGUGAUUCCUCCAUGAAGUAAUUUUGGUAUGGUUGGCUUUGUAUAGUUGGCUUAACUAGAGAGGAUAUUAUGAGAUAUGACUAAAAUGUGCUCUUGGCAUUCGUCCGAUUGGGUUGUUGUCACAUGUCGAGCACUAAAUAAAGGGAUUUGAAAGUGCAAUCAUGUGCUAGUUUGAUAUAUUGGUGGUCAUCAAUCUUUGACGAUUAGCUUGGGAUGGGUGUGUCAAGUAUCUUUUGAUGCUUAGCCUGAGAACGAAGGAAAUAACAUUGCUUGAAUAGCCUCAAUGCUAGAUGGUGUGGGAGUCUCGCGAUCAGUUGGUCGAUCAAUGGCUCAACCAUCGAGCAAUGGAGUAACUUAGCUGAUUUGUCUGCUUUGGAUGGUGGAGAUUGGAUCGAAGUUGAUGUAGCAAAGUACAAUUGAAGUGCCCACUCCAUCGCAACGGGGGAAGUUUUGGUCUAUUUGCUACUACUAGUUGGUAGAAUGCCUAUGCCGGGCGGUGGAAGAAACUGAGAUGAUAAGAUGUUGUGGAGGUCCAUGGGCAUCCGCAUCCAGAUCGUAUUUGAUGGGCCGACGACAAGUUGGAGGUCGGAUGCCGAUCCCUACGCCGCCCAAGAGCCCGAUUGUUGCAGCCCCACCACCUUCGAGCACACUUUGCAUUCGAAGCGGUGGAGGAGCUUCCGCGGCUGGCGCACACCAAACUCUUGUCACCCAAACUUUAUUGUAGGGGAUGUCCAGGGACCCACACCGGGCGGUGGGCUCUUGCUCUUGUUGCACUGGAUUUAGAGGGCCCACGUCGUGCGUCCGCCUGGCCGACUGGCAGUGGGGCCGAUGGACCCACACCGGGCGGUGGGCUCUUGUUGCUUUGUUGGGCCAAUCAAUCAGCUAUAAAAGCUCCUGAUCUGCUGCCCGCAUAAGGAAUGCAGGAGGACACUUGGCUUGGUUGAUUUGUCCACCUAUUCAAAUCUAGUGAAUUAGCUCCGAGUUCGGCUGAUCUGCUCGCCUUACGUCGAAUUCGAUCCACCCACAUCCGGUAGAUUGUGUUAAAAAGACAGACAGACACUUUUGGUCUACGGAGGAUGCAUUCAACAGAAUUUGAUCCGAGUGCCGACCAACCCACAUCAGGCAAGUUGGGUCCACGUUAAAGAUAAGAUACUCGAAGGAUCCAUCAAUCGAUGAGAUGCUUUCGUUUACAAAGGAUGCAUUAUCAUGCAUUAAAGAUGCUUGUGUCCGUGAAUGAUGCUUCGACCAUUGGGAUGCUUUUGUCCGCAAAGGAUGUACUAGAUGCUUCGAAUGCUUUUGUCUGUUAAGGAUACAACGAUCACUUCAAAUGCUUUUCCCCGUAAAAGACGUGACACUUAUGGAUGUUUCAAAUGUUUUCGUCCAUGAAAGACACUUCAGAUGCUUUGUUUGCGAGGAAGGUAUCAUACGCUUCGGAUGCUUUCAUCUAUGAAAGAUGCAUCGGAUGCGUUUGUCUACGAAAGACGCAUCAGACGCUUCAGAUGUUUUCGCGCGCGAAGAAUAUGUUGAAUGUUGGGAUGCUUUGGCCGUUGCAAUCACGCUAUCAUCGAAAAAAAAUACUUCGAGUCAUUUCGACCACAUUGUUGUCGAUGGGAAUGCUUCGAAACCAUUUUAAUUGUGCUCUCAUCGAACAACGUGCUUCAAUAUGGUUCGAGGCAAAAUGUCCUUACUAGAGCACUCAUUGAGCAAGUUGACAAGAUGACAUUCUUGUGAUAUGAGCCUUCUUCGCAAAAAAAUGAUAAGAAAAAUAUCGAUAACUCUAUUUAAGUCUAUGUGCACAAGAAAUCCGAUAUGACCAAGGGGAGGGCUUGAACGUUCGCUCGGAGAUUGACGUGGACUUAAACGCUCAUCUCAAAAUCAUCUUUCACGAAGAAGAAAAUUUUAAUUUGAAUAAAAUUAAAUAAGAUUCUCGAUGUGGGCCCUUCAAUGCUUUAUCAAUAACCGAUGAAAACAAAAUAACUUUAAUAAAUAAUAAUUUUUAUAACAUAAUUAAUUUUUUAAAUCGAUUUACCUAGAAAAAAUAUAUUCUGAGAAAGAAUAUUCCUUUUGACAAUCAUCUCCUAUCCUCAUAUUAACUGAGGUGCCACAUGCCGAGCCUUAAUUGGGACGAAUAUUUCCCCAUCAGCGAACAAAGUCCCCAUAUGCAAUCACCAAUAAUUUUAUCAACCGCAUGAGUGAAAUGAUAAUGAACUGUUAUUUCCAUCAUACCAAAGUACAACAGUGGGUAUACAUUCUCUUGCCAUCAAAAUUUACUUUACAGGUACGACGCUAGAAAGAAUUAUAACUCACCAACUUAAUGUGUUACCCCUCCCAAGUUUUUGUCAUCUGAUGCACAUCAGAAGAGGAAGAUCCAAAAGACAAAAAUUUAAGCUUUUCACCAAUAAGGACAACUCCGGCAACUGAGAGAGCAAACAAGCAGGAUGUCUCUGAAGUAUAACCUCUACUAUCGGCAACAUCUGAUAACGAAAUCUAUCCACACCCUUUUGGAUCAGGCUUCCCAAGUAGCUUUCCAGAUGCAAUCAAAACUAGCCUCCAAACCUUUUGAUUCAUUGCUUACUGUUGCAAAGCCUCAGCUUUCCGCUCAAUAAUUACCAGUCCAAUUUAUCUGUGCAUGUUGUGGCUGUUGAUAAACACCCGCAGCAGGGCCCACCAUUUCUACUGCUCCAGCUGCAGCCUGAGACUGCUGGACAAGAGGAUGAACAGCAGCGGAUGCAGGGUGGUAGAUCCCACCCAAGGCACCAUGGCCAGUUUGUGUGGGUGCUAAUGUCAUAUGAGGCGGCAUACCGUAGAAAGCAGUAGCAGUCUGAAGACUGGAAUUGUCCUGCCCAGGUGCCAGAAUCCAAGCAGCUGAACCUUCACUCUGCUAAAGAGAAUGGUAACUCGGAUAUAAAUAAGACAAAUUACAAGAAAUCAGACUUAGUGAAUAGAAAUUACAGUAGAGAUUGUAUAAAAGUAAUUCGCCAUCUGGGCUUGUCCGAACCUGAAUCCACAAUCACUAUAUAGCGGCAAUAUAUUUGAAGUAAACCAGUUCUUUUCUUUAUUAUCAUUUAUUUUACACUAUCCAGGACCAAAAAAAAAACUUGCAGCACCCUUUACAAGCUAAUCACAGAAAGUUUAAAUAUAUCAUUAAUAUAUUGCUCUAGGACAGUUUAUGCUACAAAAGUGUUUCAGCCAAUGAUUGCUAGAAUCUUUGAUAAUUUGGCUGUGUUCGUGAAUUAAAUGCAUAUUUGUUAAUUCGAAAACUUCUAGCCUAACAAAAUGCAAGCAGAUCAUUGUCACCUCCGACAUGUCUCAUGAAGGAAAAUUUUGAAGUGAUGAUCACUUGAACAAACAAAGGGAGCAGCCAUAGAGAGACCAAGAGCCAUUAUAAAAAUGAUAGUGGCUCUCAAACUUCAAUGGCAGCUUUCAGAUUUCUGUACUAUAGGCAGUAGAAUGGUUUUUCUUUCAAAUAAUCACACAUGGAUAAAAAAUAAUAUCUCAAAUCUAAAUAAAAGAAGAGAAAAUUACCUGUUGCUCAGAACUAUAGAUAUUAUUUUCUUUGAAUUGAGUUGAAUUGAGAUCCUCCUUGCUAGUUGAGUUACCACUACUCACAACAGGACUAUAUGU
rnacentral:lncRNA from 1 species